rnacentral:lncRNA from 1 species
GAUGUUGCAUAUAGAUGCAUGAAGCGCUGUGAUUUCAGUUUAGAUGUAGGUUGUGCAACACUACCACUCACUGCUUGGUACAAGUAUGACAGGCAUCCUCUUACUUUGACUUUUUCUGAUGAUUCUGAGCCUUCUCAACUUUAUUGCGAUCUCUGCGAAAAAGAAAGAGAGCCAAAUAAUUGGUUUUACUACUGUGCUGAUUGUGAUAACUCUCUUCAUCUCUAUUGUGCUGUUGGGGGUCUCACAUAUAUGAAGAUUGGGAACAGAAUCAAAGGUACAGGUCAUCGACAUCCACUCACUGUUGUGAAAAACAUCUGGAAUUGCCCUCCAUGUAAGGUAUGUGGUGAGAUUUGCAAUGGACAGGCCCUAGAAUGUAAAGAAUCUGAAUGCAACUUUACCGUCCAUUGGGAUUGCUGUCGGGUUCUCCAGAGAACCAUUUGAAUGAUAUUCCACUCAAGUUUAAGAAACAGAGAAGGCAGAGAGAUGUGUUGUGUUCUGCGGAAAGGUGUAGCAGAUUUGGUAAAAAUGGGUGAUGGCCUUACUUCUUGUGUUCUGCAUUAUGUUAUGUUUAUGAUAGUUGUUUGAGCAGUAGAAGAUUGUGUUAGAUGAAACAUGAUUUGUAACCACACAACUGUAUCUUUCACUUUUCUAUUUGAUUCUUAUCCUUUCAACUUUUAUCUAAAAUUAGUGAUGAGAAGAAAAUAUUUUUAUUAUCUUUCUAUUCCUCCAUUCAUAAAAAUUGUGAGUGAAUGUUAAGACCAUGAAAUGUAUAAAUAAUUUCUCAAUUUUAUUUAUCUAAAAAUCUUAAAUUUAGCAUUUGAAGAUCGAAUUUGGUAUAUCUUGUUAUUUUUAAAAAGUAGAAAUGUAUGAGAUUUGUGACAUAAAUCAAUCAAGAUUUUGUGACCUUAAAUCAACCUGCCAUAAAAAAAAGUGUACAUAUGUUUUAGCUUUACAAUGUAGGUUCAUUUUAUUUCACUUAAUCAGUAAGCAUUUAUACUUCAUAUUCAAAAUAAUAUUAUUAUGCCUAAAUUCUAGAAAAUAAUUUUUUAUUUAUUUUAGAUCUUAUCCUAAAUUUUUUGAAUUUUCCACCAGAUUUUAUUGUAAUUUCAUUUCAAAGAUAAAUCAACACUUUUCACAACUUAGAAAAGAAUAAAGUCAAUUUAGGCAAAAAAAUCCUUUUUUUUUUCUUUGCCCUCAAAAUAUUAAGAAAAACCCCCUUUCUUGAAAAGAAAGAGAAACCUGUAGAGGGCUGGAGCUAUGCCUGCAAUCAAUGUCGGUUUUUUCUUCACAAGGGAUGUGCUGAGUUAGAGUUAUCCCCCAAGAUUCAGCAUCCCUUCCACCCCUUCCACCCUCUCACUCGUCUUCCAAAAUCACCUUAUUCUGGGGGCCUAACCGCGUGCAGUUUGUGUGGUAAGAAUUUUGAGGGAUUUGUUUAUAAUUGUUUUGAUUGUGAGUUCGAUCUGCACAUCACUUGUGCUUUGCUUCAAUCAUCCAUUGCUGCAAAUUUUCCUAAUUCUUUGCACCCCCAUCCUUUACACUUCAUUCAAAAUCAUAACAAGCAAGUCGAGCCUGAUUGCCCGGGGUGUCAGAAACCAAUAUCUGGUCCAUUUUACCACUGUUCAGAUUGCACUUAUCCUAAAUUGUUUAACCUUCGUAAGGAAUGUGCUGAGCUACCCCUUGAGAUUAAUCACCCCUGUAACCGUAAGCAUCCUCUUACUCUCUUGUCACAACCGCCUACUCAUCCCCAGAGAUGUAGUUGCUCUUUGUGCAGAAUCCAAUGGAAGGGGUUUGUUUAUUCCUGCUCUGUAUGCAACUUUGAUCUUUCACUUGAUGAUUUGCUUUUUUCACCACCAACAAUCACAGUUGCAAGUCAUGAACACGCGUGGAUGCUUGUUUCUAGAAAAAUGUCGUUUGUUUGUGAUUUUUGUGGCACUGACGGAGAUCACUCCCCCUAUUUGUACCCUAAAGUUAAACUUUGCCUUCACACUACCCAGUUCAAUCUAGGCUUAAUAUAAAAAUUGCCCCCUAAAUUAUAUUCAUUUUCUCAGAUGGGUAUCUAAACCUUUUUUUUGUCAAAUUGAGUACUUACAGUAAUUUUUUCCCGCAUUGGUACGCUGUUAGUUCUCCCUUAGUCAACCAUUAGUCAACAUUAAUGAUGAUGUGGCCCAAUAAGUAAUAAGCACGUGGAAAAAAAAGCCACAUAAGUAAACCAUCUCAUUCUUUGUAUAAAAAAAGUCACAUAAGUAAAUCAUCUCAUAAUUAAAAAUAAUAUUAAGAAAUAUUUUCACACCCUGUUCCUCUCCCACGGUCCCCCACCAUCCUCACCCAACCCUUUCCCUCUGCUAACCCUUCAAUUAUAUUUUCAUAAAAAAAAAUUUCCUCCUUUCUUUCUUUAACAUUGAUUCUUUGUCUCACAAUUCCCUUUAAAUCCAUCCACCACAUGUUUGGGAAAAUGACCCUCAAAAAAAUAAAUUUUGAGCCUGAAAUUGGUGUUUUCCUUUUCAUGUAUUGGAUUUGCUUUCUUAUAGUAGGAUUGUAAGUUUGUGGGUGAAGGUUUUGUAUUUGUUAGUUUGAUUUAGUGGACUCUUAAUUUUAUUUAUGGCCUUCUUCCAAUUCAGAAUUUUAUUUGUACUCUGAAACUCUAAAGUGCAAAUAACCAAAUUAAGUAUCUUUAAUGUACCAAUUGCCUUGUGUCUUUUACAGAAAAAUAAUUUUUUUUAUUUUUUUUAAUUUUGCCACAUGUCUAUUGGUGAUUGAGCCACAUCAUCAUUGACCAAGGUUGAUUAACGGCUGACUAACGAAGGACUAACGAGGUACAAAUGUAAGAAAAAAUAUAGUUUAGAUACUCAAAUUGAUCAAAAAAAAUGUUUGGGUACUUAUUUAAGCAAAUGAGUAUAUUUUAAAGGACAAUUUUAAUAUUAAGCCUUCAACCUAUAAAUAGAUUUAUUUAUAAUUAAUUUAAUUUAAUAUGAUCUGAUUCAAAUUAAUUGUUAAACACAUUUAAUGACUUAAAUUUUAGUCACAAAUGACAAACUUCUACAACAUAGUUUUUUAGUUCAAAUUGGUAUUUUCAAAUAACUAAGUAUUAAUUUAGAUAAAAAAAUCAAAUUCAGGUAUUAAUUUAAAUCAAGAAGCUAAGCUUAGGUACUUAGUUGGACCAAAAUACCAAAUGGAACUUUGAAUUCAUGUUCAAGUACCUAAUUGAAAAAAAAAAACCUUAGGUAUCAAUUUGAACUCUGAAGCUAAGUUCAAGUACCAAAAUGUAUAUUUCCCUUACUUUUCCAAUAACCAUUGAAUGCUCUCAUUUUUAUCUACCACAUCGGAGCAAACACUAAUUAUUGACAGAAAAUAACAAUUCUAGUGAUUAUGUUGAAAGUAAAACUUAAUUUUCUGUCACCGACAAUCACAAUCCUUUUUGCAUUAUUUCUCAAUUUUUAGUUCAUAAACGAUCAAGAAUACCUUUUUUUUUACAGUGAUUAUGUUGAGAUUUCCUAUAAAAUUCUCUUUUUAUUUGCAAGGAAUCUACAACUCUAGUGUGAAUCAGGGAAGCAUGCAGGCGUGGGAAGCUAUCAGCUCUGAUAAACUCAACUCCCACCGCCUCUUCCAUAGGAUCCAACAUAUGAAUAACUAUUCCUAAAACGAGGUCAGCCAUGCCAAUUCCAUUAAAAAGAGGCCUAAGCUAAGCUACCAAGCAAAGAGGAAGAAGAAGAGAUGGUUUCAGGGUGAGGCAUGUGCUCCAAAAGGGUAGCGGUGGAUGCAAGGCAUCACAUGCUGGGAAGGUUGGCUUCCAUAUUGGCCAAAGAGUUGCUGAAUGGUCAAAAAGUAGUGGUGGUGAGAUGUAAAGAGAUAUGCAUGUGGGGUGGAUUGGUUAGCCAGAAGAUGAAUCUCAUGAGGUUUCUUAGGAAGCGUAUGAACACUAAGCCUUCUCAUGGUCUCAUCCAGUUUCCUGCUCCUCUAACAUCCUCUGGCGUACCAUUCGUGGGUGUGUUUUUCUUUUCGAGAGAUUUUUUUUCCCUUUUAGUGUGUUUUCAUAGUUCUUUAUUUGGUCUGUGAAUGAAAAGGAUGGACAUUUCUGGGUUUUUGAUGCUUGGUAAUUUAGGAAGCCUUUAUUAUGAACUUUUUGAGAGAUUUUUUUCCAUUUAUUUGCAGUUCUAUGAUUUGGAUAUUGGAAUAAAUAUUGCAAAAGAACCAAAGGAAUCUGUGUGUUUAGUUAUGUUUGAUAUCAAAAUUAAUAAUGAGAGCUUGCUAUUGAUUUUUCUUAUUAGAGAUCUGUGUGUUUUGUUAUAGUUGGUUAUUGGUAAAAUGUAGGGACGAAGUGAAAGAGAGUAGAAUGAGUGUGCUUGAGGUUAUUAUUGUUGGAUUGAGAGAAAACUAAUAGCUGACAAGGUCUAUGAAUCUUAUGGUGCAAAGGCAAUGCGUUUGGCUUCAGCAUAUAUGAAGUGAAGUACAUAACUGGGCUUCAUUUUGACUUUCCUUAUGGUAAUUGAUAUUUGCUUUGAUUGCAGGAUGAUUCCUCGCAAAGACUAAGCAUGGAGUGGCAGCUUUCGUUUGAAAUUGAAGGCUUACGAUGGGAAUCCUGCACCAUAUGAUAAGACUAAGAGAAUGGUUAUUCCUGAUGCUCUCAAGUUUUGUAGUAGUUGGUUUCUUUCGUGAAAUUUAGAAUUUGGUUUUCUUAUUUGCUUCUGUGGAUAGUUAGUCAUGCUCAAUGUUUUUAUUGUUCUUUCGUUUUUUUUAAAUUAGGGUUCUGAGGUUUCAGAAAGGACACAAAUUGGUGGAGAAAAUAGCAUUACCCGGGAGUAAAUAUGAAAUAUAACAUUGAACGCUUUUAUGUAGGUUAUCCAACAUGCUGAAUGCUUAGGACUUGGUUUGGAGCUUUAGGAACUACUGAUGAAGAAGUUUAUGAAGACAUCAAAAGAGUCAUUUCAUUGGUUUGGCAGUUCUAGGACUGGGUUGUCCUUUACUCAGAGCCAGAGCAGGUAGGUUCUGUUUUUACUCGGCUGUUUGUGAUUGAUGUUUGUCGCACAUUUUCCCCUCUCUUUUUGUAACUGUAUUGUAGCUUUGGGUCAGUGGUUGUGCUAUGAAUUUAGUAAUAUCAAACUGUUGUGUCUGGUCAACAUUGCAGACUCCUCGAAUUGUCUCCUUACCGUCUGAGUCUUACAACCUACCAAGACAACACCGAACCAAACCUUCCGCAUAUAGAAGAAAAACAUUCCUUGCAAUAAAAUUAAAACUGAUACAAAAACCACAACAUCCAUAGGGAGGCAUCAAAAAGAUAACCACAAUGACACUUGCGAACACCACAGCUCAUGACACAAAUCGAAAAAGAGAUCAACUUCAAGACAUCAUCUCAUGUUGUCAAUUUGUGAGCAUCCCUUAGAAAUUAAAUAAACACCAUAAAAGAAGCAUCCAACAAAUUGGCAGCAAUGCAGUAACUGCAAACCUAUUGCCUCCGUGACUCUUUAAUUACAACCCCAAAUAUCAUAUGCCAAAACAAGGAGCAACAUCAAAACCUUCAUAAUUAAACACUCUUGAAAGUUGCCUACACACCCUCUUUACUCAUCCUUAGGUUAAAACAUGUUCUUAUCACCCCUAAACACCACCAGUCAAAAUCAUAGCUUACUCGAGUUGAAAACACCUUUUAGUUGAAGAGAAGACAAUCGAAAUCAUCCUUAACCCACCAACCCUUAUCCAACAUCGAUCAAGAGGACAUCAAACAUGAUUCCAUAAUAAGCUUGUUAAAAUCCCUCAAGAAAGGAAAGCCGGAUCAGCAGCAUUCGACAGUGUUCCUCAUCAGUUAUGGCCGUCGAUGAUGAACCUUAACCCCCUCAGCCUUUCGAGUUCACAUCCUGAUUUCGCUUGGAUUUCGUUUCGAUGAUAGUUUUUAGAGAAGACUUGUGUUCGGUGACAUUCUUUAGUUCUGGAGUUCUCUACUAAUCAAUUACAUUCGUUCUAAUGUUCUUUCUAGGAAAAUCUUGUCAUAUACAUGCUCAACCAUUAGGGAAUUUAACUUUGUUGCCUAAUUUCUUUUUGUUGAUGUUCUCAAUUCUUUUCAUAUUUUUUAAAAAUCAUAUAUAUAUAUAUAGGUUAUAACAAUGUGGCAUAGCUUUUGAAUCUUUAUUUGUCACUAUAAUAAUAUUUCACAUGUUGAUUAUAUUUAAAAAAUUAAUUCAAGAUAAAUUCCUUAUAAAUAUUGUCAUGUAAUUGUUGAUGCUCUAAAUGUUGAUAUGCAUGAAUAUAUUAAAUAUGUACUAAAAAUAAAAAAUUAAAAUUAAUUAUAAGAAAUGUAAACUAUAAAGAAAAUUGAAGCAAAUAUAUACUAAAAUUUUCAACUUAAAAUAUAUAUUUAAAACUUAAAGUAUAUUAUUAAAGACGCAUUUUAAUAAAGAUUGAUUAAAGUAAAUAUAUUUAAAAUUCUUAAUUAAUUUAAACAAAACUCAAUUAUAAAAAAAAUUAUUAUUUUCUUUUUCAAACUCUAACAAAUUUAUGGGAAAAUUGAAUGUUCCAUAUUCUUAUCCUUAGAAUGGAAAUGCUGGGCUAUUAUGGGAAAAGAAAUAUUGACAAAUAGUCUCACAAGUAUACGACGAAAAUGAUUCUUCUCUUUAAGGACAAAAGCAAGACCUAAGAAAGUAUACCACAAAGGGUAGAGUAAAGUGAAGCAAACUCAAGGGUUUUCUUGUAAUGGGAAUGAGUGAGUGUGAGAGUAGGACAGAGGGGGAGACCAUGGAACUUCAACAUUUCAGUCAUCCACAUCCUUUGGUCUUCUUCAAAUGUCAGACUGUUGCAAGCGAAGAAGUAGACCCAGAAGCAGCUCUUUGCCUUGGGUGUGAGAAACCUGUAGAGGGCUGGAGCUAUGGUUGCAAUCAAUGUGAGUUUUAUCUUCACAAGGGAUGUGCUGAGUUAGAGUUAGCCCCCAAGAUUCAGCAUCCCUUCCACCCCAAACACCCUCUCACUCUUCUGCCAAAUUCAGAUCGUUAUAUGUCAGGAAUUUGCGAUUUGUGUGGUAAGAAAUUUGGAGGAUUUGUUUAUAAUUGUAGUGAUUGUAGUUUCGAUCUGCACAUCAAUUGUGCUUUGCUUCAAUCAUCCAUUGCUGCAAAUUUUCCUAAUUCUUUGCACCCCCAUCCUUUGUUAUUCAUUCAAAAUCAUAACAACGAAAUCGAGCCUCAUUGCUCCGGAUGUCAGAAACCAAUAUCUGGUCCAAUUUACCACUGCUCAGAUUGCACAUAUACUAUUUUUAACCUUCAUAAGGAAUGUGCUGAACUACCCCUUGAGAUUAAUCACCCCUAUGACCGUAAGCAUCCUCUUACUCUCUUGCCACAACCGCCUACUCAUCCCCAGAAAUGUAGUUGCUAUUUGUGCAGAAUCCAAUGGAAGGGGUUUGUUUAUUCCUGCUCUUUAUGCAACUUUGAUCUUUCACUUGAUGAUUUUCUUUUUUCACCACCAACAAUCACAGUUGCAAGUCAUGAACACCCGUGGAUGCUUAUAUCUAGAAAAAUGUCGUUUGUUUGUGAUUUUUGUGGCACUGACGGAGAUCACUCCCCUUAUCACUGUGAUACCUGUGUGCUUUUUGUCCACAAGAAUUGCAUUUCAUUGCCACGCCACAUCAUGAUAACACGACAUAGUCACAGGAUUUCUCUUUCCUAUUCUCUUCGACAAAUUCAAGUUGAGGAUUGGAUGUGAAAAAUUUGUUACGAGGAAGUUGAUAUAAGGUAUGGCAGUUACCGUUGUCCUGCUUCUCGUUGCCGUUAUAUUGCUCAUGUACGUUGUGCAACUGAUAGAGAAAUUUGGGGUGGAACAAUUAUGCCGGAAGGCUAUGAUGAGAGGUCUGAGGAAGUGGUGGAUGAACCUUCGAAUUUGAUUACUGAUGUUGUUGAACAAAUUCGUAUUGGAGAGCUAAUGGUAGCAAGUGAGAUCAAGCAUUCCUAUCAUGAUUAUAAUUUAAGACUCACUUUUAGUGGGAAGACCAAAGAUGAUGAUAGUGAGUGCAAUGGGUGCACCAACUCCUUUUUAUAGUUGUGAGCAAUGCAAGUUCUUUCUCCACAGAGAUUGCGCUGAAUUGCCUAAAGAAAUGCCACACCCAUUUCACAUGCAUUUGCUUACUCCCUCAAACUCACACAUUAAUGGAUAUGGUUAUUCAUGUUGCCAUGCUUGCUUUCGUGCGUAUCAAGGAUUUAGCUACAGAUGCUACAAAGGUUGCAGCUUCGAAAUUGACGCGUAAUGUAUGUUAUUAUCGGACACCUUGAAGCACGCAAGUCAUAAGCAUUCACUAUUUUUUGUCCACAACAACGAGGGAUCGAGUUGCAGUGCUUGUUUCAAAAGACAACGCUGGUGGAAUGGUGCAUAUAGAUGCAUGAGGCGCUGUGAUUUCAGUUUAGAUGUAGGUUGUGCAACACUACCACUCACUGCUUGGUACAAGUAUGACAGGCAUGCUCUUACUUUGACUUUUUCUGAUGAUUCUGAGGCUUCUCAACUUUACUGUGAUUUCUGCGAGAAAGAAAGAGAGCCAAAUAGUUGGUUUUAUUACUGUGCUGAGUGUGAUAACUCUCUUCAUCUCAAUUGUGCUAUUGGGGAUGACCCAUAUAUGAAGCUUGGGAACAAAUUGGAAGAUCCUGGGCAUAAACAUUCAUUCACUGUUGUGAAAAACAUCUGGAAUUGCCCUCCAUGUAAGGUAUGUGGUGAGGUUUGCAAUAGGCAGGCCUUAGAAUGUAAAGAAUCUGAAUGCAAUUUUACCGUCCACUGGAAUUGCCGUUGGAGACUCCUGAGAAUCAUUUGAAUGAUAUUCCACUCAAGUUUAAGAAACAGAGAAGGCACAAUAUGAGAGAUGUGUGGUGUUGUGUGGAAGGGUGUAGCAGAUUUGGUAAAAAUGGGUGAUGACCUUAGUUGUUGUAAUCUGCAUUAUGUGAUGUUUAUGGUUGUUGUUUGAGGAGUAGAAGGUCGUGUUAGAUGAAACAUGAUUUGUAACCACACAUCUGUAUCUUUCACUUUUCUAUUUGCUUCUUAUGCAUUCAACUUUUAUCUAAAAUUAGUGAUGAGAAGGAAGAAAUGGUUUUUAGGUUGUCAUAAUAAAAUAUUUUUAAUAAUAGAAGUAUGAAAAUACUAAAAUAAUGUUGAGUUUGGAAAUUUAAAUACAAAAUCAUUCUUCCCUUUAUAACUGCAUACAAAAUUGUGUGUGAUUUUUAAGCCCAAAAUAUAAGCGGAUUUGGUAUAUCUUAUUAUUUUUGCGCAAAACUGUAUAUAUGUUUUAGCUUUACAAUUUAAGUUAAUUAAGUCAACUUAAUUAAUUUUAUUUCUACUCCAUUUUCUUUAUUUUAGAUCUUUUUCUAAAAUUUGGAAUUCAGCCUUGCAAAUUUGAUUCUUACAUCAGAUUUUACUGUUCACAAUUUAGAAAAGACUAAAUUCAAUUUAGACAAAAUGUCUUUUUUUUUCGUUGCCCUCAAAAUAUUAAAAAUAAAAAAUCUUCAACUCAUGAAUAGGAGUAUAAUGUGCUUCCACGCACUUGAAUCCACAUCCUCCUGCAUUAACAACAAUACUCAUGCUAAUGAACUAAAACUCAAUCGGCUACUUUCUAAUUUUCAAAAUAUUCAAAAUUAUUUUCUUAAAUAAUUUAAUAUUAAGCUAUCAAUUUUAAAAUAUUAAUAUAUUAAACUUAAAAAACUCUAAAUGGAACUUCGAUCUCUUGAAUCUACCUAAACUCAAAUAAGAGAAAAUAAUUUUGAUACCUAAACUUUAAUUCUAUUUAUUAUUUCCAUAUAUCCUUCUAAUGGAGUUAAAAUCUUGCCUCACUUUCAAUGCAACCAAUUGUGGGACUAUUAGUUAGAAAAGUUUUAAUCAAAGUCAAGGGAUUUGAAGAUAAUUAUACCAAAAUUUAUUUUAAACCCCUAAAUGAAAAAUAGUAAGACCAACCCAAGCCCGGCACAAUUUAGCCCAUCAACGCAUCUACCCUAAACUUAAACUUUGCCCUCACGCUACCCAAUUCAAUCUAGGCUUAAUAUAAAAAUUGCCCCCUAAAUUAUAUUCAUUUUUUCAGAUAGGUAUAUAGUUUUUUUUUUCCGCAUUGGUACCCUGUUAGUUCUCCCUUAGUCAGCCAUUAGUCAACAUUGUUCAAUGUUUAAUGAUGAUGUGGCCCAAUCACUAAUGAACACGUGGCCAAAAAAGCCACAUAUAUAAACCAUCUCAUUCUUUGUAUAAAAUAAUUCCAAAAAAUAAAAAAAGUUAGAAAAAUUAAAAUUAUUUUUUUAUUUUAUAUUAAUAUUAAUUAAAAAUAAUAUUAAGAAAUAUUUUCACACCCUGUCCCUCUCCCACCGUCCCCCACCAUCCUCACCCAACCCUCUCCCUCUGCUAAUCCUUCAAUUAUAUUUUUAUAAAUAAAAAAUUCCCUCCUUUCUUUCUUCAACAUUGAUUCUUCGUCUCACAAUUCCCUUCAAAUCUAUCCACCACAUGUUUGGGAAAAUGACCCUCAAAAAAAAUAAAUUUUGAGCCUCAAAUUGGUGUUUUCCUUCAUCUAUUGGAUUGCUUUCUUAUAAUAGGAUUAUAAGUUUGUGGGUGAAGGUUUUGUAUUUGUUAGUUUGGUUUAGUGGACUCUUAAUUUUAUUUAUGGCCUUCUUCCAAUCUAGAAUUUUGUUUGUACUCUGAAACUCUAAAGUGUAAAUAGCCAAAUUAAGUAUCUUUAAUGUACCAAUUGGUUUGUGUCUUUUACAGAAAAAUAAUUUUUCUAAUUUCUUUAUUUUGCCACAUGUCUAUUGGUGAUUGAGCCACAUCAUCAUUGACCAAGGUUGAUUAACGGCUGACUAAUGAAGGACUAACGAGGUACAUAUGUAAGAAAAAAUAUAGUUUAGAUACUCAAAUUGAUCAAAAAAGUGUUUAGGUAGUUAUUUAAGCAAAUGAGUGUAUUUUAAAGGACAAUUUUAAUAUUAAGCCUUCAACCUAUAAAUAGAUUUAUUUAUAAUUAAUUUAAUUUAAUUUAAUAUGAUCUGAUUUAAAUUAAUUGUUAAACACGUUUAAUGACUUAAAUUUUAGUCACAAAUGACAAACUUCUAAAACAUGAUUUUUUAGUUCAAAUUGGUACUUUCAAGUAACUAAGUAUUAAUUUAGAUAAAAAAAUCAAAUUCAGGUAGUAAUUUAAAUCAAGAAGCAAAGUUUAGGUAUUUAAUUGGACCAAAAUACCAAAUGUAACUUUGAAGUCAUGUUCAAGUACCUAAUUAGAAAAAAAAACCUUAGGUAUCAAUUUGAACUCUGAAGCUAAGUUCAAGUACCAAAAUGUAUAUUUCCCUUACUUUUCCAAUAACCAUUGAAUGCUCUCAUUUUCAUCCACCAGAUCGGAGCAAACAUUAAUUAUUGACAGAAAAUAAUAAUUCUAGUGAUUAUGUUGAAAGUAAACCUUAAUUUUCUGUCACCGACAAUCACAGUCCUUUUUGCAUUAUUUCUCAAUUUUUAGUUCAUCAACGAUCAAGAAUACUUUUUUCUUUUUUACAGUGAUUAUGUUGAGAUUUCCUAUAAAAUUCUCUUUUUAUUUGCAAGGAAUCUACAACUCUAGUGUGAAUCAGGGACAUUGUCUUUGAUCGCAGGGUGUUCGCUGAAAUGCUUGACACAAGCAUGCAGGCGCGGGAAGCUAUCAGCUUUGAUAAACUUAAAUCCCACCGCAUCUUCCAUAGGCGCCAACAUAUGAAUAACUAUUCCUAAAACGAGGUCAGCCAUGCCAAUUCCAUUAAAAAGAGGCCUAAGCUAAGCUACCAAGCAAAGAGGAAGAAGAAGAGAUGGUUUCAGGGUGAGGCAUGUGCUCCAAAAGGGUAGCGGUGGAUGCAAGGCAUCACAUGCUGGGAAGGUUGGCUUCCAUAUUGGACAAGGAGUUGUUGAAUGGCCAAAAAGUAGUGGUGGUGAGAUGUGAAGAGAUAUGCAUGUGGGGUGGAUUGGUUAGCCAGAAGAUGAAUCUCAUGAGGUUUCUUAGGGAGCGUAUGAACACUGAUCUUGCGUACCAUUCGCGGGUGUGUUUUUCUUUUCGAGAGUCUUUUUUCCCUUUUAGUGUGUUUUCAUAGUUCUUUAUUUGGUCUGUGAAUGAAAAGGAUGGAAAUUUCUGGGUUUUUGAUGCUUGGUAAUUUAGGAAGCCUUUAUUAUAAACUUUUUGAGAGAUUUUUUUCUAUUUAUUUGAAGUUCUAUGAUUUGGAUAUUGGAAUAUAUAUUGCAAAAGAACCAAUGGAAUCUGCGUGUUUAGUUGUGUUUGAUAUCAAAAUUAAUAAUGAGAGUUUGCUAUUGAUUUUUCUUGUUAGAGAUCUGUGUGUUUUGUUAUAUUUGGUUAUUGGUAAAAUGUAGGGACGAAGUGAAAGAGAGUAGAAUGAGUGUGCUUGAGGUUAUUAUUGUUGGAUUGAGAGAAAACUAAUAGCUGAGAAAGUCUAUGAAUUUUAUGGUGCAAAGGCAAUGCUUUUGGCUUCAGCAUAUAUGAAGUGAAGUAUAUAACUGGCUUCAUUUGGACUUUCCUUAUGGUAAUUGAUAUUUGCUUUGAUUGCAGGAUGAUUCCUCGCAAAGACUAAGCACGGAGUGGCAGCUUUCGCUGGUGUGAAUUGAAGGCGUAUGAGGGGAUUCUUGCACCAUAUGAUAAGACUAAGAGAAUGGUUAUUCCUGAUGCUCUCAAGUUUUGCAGUAGUUGGUUUCUUUUGAGGAAUUUAGAAUUUCGUUUUCUUACUUGCUUCUGUGGAUAGUUAGUCAUGCUCAAUGUUUUUUAAAUUGGUGGAGAAAAUAGCAUUACCCUGGAGUAAAUAUGAAAUAUAACAUUGAACGCUUUUAUGUAGGUUAUCCAACAUUGAAUGCUUAGGACUUGGUUUGGAGCUUCAGGAACUACUGAUGAAGAAGUUUAUGAAGACAUCAAAAGAGUCAUUUCAUUGGUUUGGCAGUUCUAGGACUUGGUUGUCCUUUACUCAGAGCCAGAGCAGGUAGGUUCUGUUUUUACUUGGCUGUUUGUGAUUGAUGUUUGUUGCACCUUUUCCCCUCUCUUUUGUAACUGUAUUGUAGCUUUGGGUCAGUGGUUGGGCUAUGAAUUUAUGAAUAUCAAACUGUUGUGUCUGGUCAACAUUGCAGACUCCUCGAAUUGUCUCCUUACCGUCUGAGUCUUACAACCUACCAAGACAACACCGAACCAAACCUUCCGCAUACAGAAGAAAAACAUUCCUUGCAAUAAAAUUAAAAUUGAUACAAAAACUACAACAUCCAUAGGGAAGCAUCAAAACACUUCAAAAAGAUAACCACAAUGACACUUGCGUACACCACAGCUCAUAACACAAAUCGAAAAAGAGAUCAACUUCAAGACAUCAUCUCAUGUUAUCAAUUUGUGAGCAUCCUUUAGAAAUUAAAUAAACACCAUAAAAGAAGCAUCCAACAAAUUGGCAGCAAUGCAGUAACUGCAAACCUAUUGCCUCCGUGACUCUUUAAUUACAACCCCAAAUAUCAUAUGCCAAAACAAGGAGCAACAUCAAAAUCUUCAUAAUUAAACACUCUUGAAAGUUGCCUACACACCCUCUUUACUCAUCCUUAGGUUAAAACAUGUUCUUAUCACCCCUAAACACCACCAGUCAAAAUCAUAUCUUACUCGAGUUGAAAACACCUCCUAGUUGAAGAGAAGACAAUCGAAAUCAUCCUUAACCCACCAACCCUUAUCCAACAUCGAUCAAGAGGACACUAAACAUGAUUCCAUAAUAAGCUUGUUAAAAUCCCUCAAGAAAGGAAAGCCGGAUCAGCAGCAUUCAACAGUGUUCCUCAUCAGUUAUGGCCGUCGAUGAUGAACCUCAGCCCCCUCAGCCUUACGAGUUCACAUCCUGAUUUCGCUUGGAUUUCGUUUCGAUGAUAGUUUUUAGAGACGAUUUGUGUUCAGUCACAUUCUUUAGUUCUGGAGUUCUCUACUAAAUCAGUUACAUUCUUUCUAAUGUUCUUUCUAGGAAAAUCUUGUCAUAUACAUGCUCAACCAUUAGGGAAUUUGACUUUGUUGCCUAAUUUCUUUUUGUUGAUGUUCUCAAUUCUUUUCAUAUUUUUUUAAAAUCAUAUAUAUAUAGGUUACAACAAUGUGGCAUAGCUUUUAAAUCAUUAUUUGUCACGAUAAUAAUAUUUCGCAUGUUGAUUAUAUUUAAAAAAUUAAUUCAAGAUAAAUUCCUUAUAAAUAUUGUCAUGUAAUUGUUGAUGCUCUAAAUGUUGAUAUGCAUGAAUAUAUUAAAUAUGCACUAAAAAUGUAAAAUUAAAAUUAAUUAUAAGAAAUAUAAACUAUAAAGCAAAUUGAAGCAAAUAUAUAGUAAAAUUUUCAACUUAAAAUAUAUAUUUAAAACUUAAAGUAUAUUAUUAAAGACGCAUUUUAAUAAAGAUUGAUUAAAGUAAAUAUAUUUCAAAUUUUUAAUUAAUUUAAACAAAAUCAAUUAUAAAAAAAUUAUUAUUUUCUUUUUCAAACCCUAACAAAUUUAUGGGAAAAUUGAAUGUUCCAUAUUCGUAUCCUUAGAAAGGAAAUGCUGGGGUAUUAUGGGAAAAGAAAUAUUGACAAAUAGUCUCACAAGUCAAGGACGAAAAUGAUUCUUCUCUUUAAGGACAAAAGCAAGACCUAAGAAAGUAUACCAUAAAGCGUGGAGUAAAGUGAAGCAAACUCGAGGGUUUUCUUGUAAUGGAUGUGAGUGAGUGUGAGAGUAGGACAGAGGGGGAAACCGUGGAACUUCAACAUUUCAGUCAUCCACAUCCUUUGGUCUCCUUCAAAUAUCAGACUGUUGCACGCGAAGAAGUAGACCCAGAAGCAGCUCUUUGCCUUGGGUGUGAGAAACCUGUAGAGGGCUGGAGCUAUGGCUGCAAUCAAUGUGAGUUUUAUCUUCACAAGGGAUGUGCUGAGUUAGACUUAGCCCCCAAGAUUCAGCAUCCCUUCCACCCCGAACACCCUCUCACUCUUCUGCCAAAAUCACCUUAUUCUGGGGGCUUAACCGCGUGCAGUUUUUGUGGUAAGAAUUUUGAGGGAUUUGUUUAUAAUUGUUUUGAUUGUGAGUUCGAUCUGCACAUCAAUUGUGCUUUGCUUCAAUCAUCCAUUGCUACAAAUUUUCCUCAUUCUUUGCACCACCAUCCUUUAGACUUCAUUCAAAACCAUAACGAGGAAGUUGAGCGCGAUUGCUCCGGAUGUCAGAAACCAUUAUCUGGUCCAAUUUACCAUUGUUUAGAUUGUUCUUAUCCUACAUUCUUUACUCUUCAUAAGGAAUGCGUUGAACUACCCCUAGAAAUUAAUCACCCCUGUGACCGUAAGCAUCCCCUUACUCUUUUGCCUCAACGACCUGCACAUCCCGAGAAAUGUAGUUGCUAUUUGUGCAAAAUCCAAUGGAGCGGGUUUGUUUAUUCCUGCUCGCUUUGCAACUUUGAGCUUUCAGUUGAUUAUAUUUUUUCACCACCAACAAUCACCAAUGCAAGCCAUGAACACCCGUGGAUGCUUAUAUCCAAAAAAAUGUCAUUUAUUUGUGAUUUUUGUGGCAUUGUCGGAGAUCACUCUCCCUAUCUUUGUGCUACAUGCAACCUUGCUGUACACAAGAAUUGCAUUUCAUUGCCACGCAACAUCAGGAUAACACGACAUUGUCACGUGAUUUGUUUUUCAUAUUCUUUUCAACAAAAUCAAGUUGAAGAUUGUAUGUGCAGAAUUUGUUUCACGGAAGUUGAUACAAGUUAUGGUAGGUAUUGUUGUUCUGCUUCUGGUUGUGAUUAUAUUGCUCAUGCACAUUGUGCAACCAAUAAAUCAAUUUGGGAUGGAACAAUUAUCAAGGAAGGCUAUGAUGAGAGGCUUGGACCUUCGAAUUUGAUCACUGAUGUUAUUGAACAAAUAAGUAUUGAAGAGAUUAUGGUAGCAAGUAAGAUCAAACAUUCCUACCAUCAUCAUAAUUUAAGACUCACUUUUAGUGGUGAGAUCAAAGAUGAUAGCCAGUGUGAUGGGUGCAUGAGGCCUAUAUCAACUCCUUUUUAUAGUUGUGAGCAAUGCAAGUUCUUUCUCCACAAAGAUUGCGUUGAAUUGCCUAAAGAAAUGCCACACCCAUUUCACAAGCAUUUGCUUACUCUCUCAAACUCCCACGAUGAGAAUGGUUGUUCAUGGUGCACUACUUGCCGUCGUCUGUAUCAAGGAUUUAGGUACAGAUGCUACAAAGGAGAUUGCUACUUCGAAAUUGACAUUCAAUGUAUGUUAUUGUCGGACACCUUGAAGCACCCAAGUCAUGAGCAUUCACUCGUUCUUGUCCACAACGAGGGAACGAGCUGCAGUGCUUGUUUCAAAAAUUUACUAUCAAUGGAUGUUGCAUAUAGAUGCAUGAAGCGCUGUGAUUUUAGUUUAGAUGUAGGUUGUGCAUCACUACCACUCACUGCUUGGUACAAGUAUGACAGGCAUGCUCUUACAUUGACUUUUUCUGAUGAUUCUGAGCCUUCUCAACUUUACUGCGAUCUCUGCGAGAAAGAAAGCCAAAUUGUUGGUUUUACUACUGUGCUGAUUGUGAUAACUCUCUUCAUCUCAAUUGUGCUCUUGGGGAUCUCCCAUAUAUGAAGCUUGGGAACAAAAUCAAAGGUACAGGUCAUCGACAUCCACUCACUGUUGUGAAAAACAUCUGGAAUUGCCCUCCAUGUAAGGUAUGUGGUGAGGUUUGCAAUGGACAGGCCCUAGAAUGUAAAGAAUUUGAAUGCAACUUUACCGUCCAUUCGGUUUGCUGUUGGUUUCUCUAUGAAUCAUCUGAAUGAUAUUCCACUCAGUUUAAGAAACAGAGAAAGCACAAUACGAGAGGUGUGUUGUGUUGUGUGGAAGGGUGUAGCAGAUUUGGUAAAAAUGGGUGAUGGCCUUAGUUGUUGUAUUUUGCAUUAUGUUAUGUUUAUGAUAGUUGUUUGCGCAGUAGAAGGUUGUGAUAGAUGAAACAUGUAUCUGUAUCUUUCACUUUUUUAUUUGAUUCUUAUCCUUUCAACUUUUAUCUAAAAUUAUUGAUGAGAAGAAAAUAUUUUUAUUAUCUUUCUAUUCCUCCAUUCUUAAAAAUUGUGAGUGAAUGUUAAGACCAUGAAAUGUAUAAAUGGUUUCUUAAUUUUAUUUAUUUAUAAAUCUUAAAUUUAAAAUUUGAAGAUCGAAUUUGGUAUAUCUUAUUAUUUUUAAAAAGUGAAAAUAUAUGAAAUUUGUGAAAUAAAUUGAUCAAGAUUUUGUGAUCUUAAAUCAACCAGUCAUAAAAAAAAAUGUACGUCUGUUUUAGUUUUAGAAUUUAGAUUAAUUUUAUAUUACUUAAUCAGUAAACAUUUGUACUCCAUAUUCAAAAUAAUAUUAUUAUGCCUAAAUUCUAGAAAAUAAUUUUUUCUUUAUUUUAGAUUUUAUCCUAAAUUUUUUGAAUCUUCCACCAGAUUUUAUUGUAAUUUCAUUUUAAAGAUAAAUCAACAUUUUUCACAACUUAAAAAGGAAUAAAGUCAAUUUAAGCAAAAAAAUCCUUUUUUUUCCCUUUGCCCUCAAAAUAUCAAGAAAAACCCCCUUUCUUUUAUUUUGGAAAGAAAGAGAAACCUGUAGAGGGCUGGAGCUAUGCCUGCAAUCAAUGUCGGUUUUUUCUUCACAAGGGAUGUGCUGAGUUAGAGUUAUCCCCCAAGAUUCAGCAUCCCUUCCACCCUCUCACUCUUCUGCCAAAAUCACCUUAUUCUGGGGGCAUAACCGCGUGCAGUUUGUUUGGUAAGAAUUUUGAGGGAUUUGUUUAUAAUUGUUUUGAUUGUGAGUUCGAUCUGCACAUCACUUGUGCUUUGCUUCAAUCAUCCAUUGCUGCAAAUUUUCCUAAUUCUUUGCACCCCCAUCCUUUACACUUCAUUCAAAAUCAUAACAAGGAAGUCGAGCCUGAUUGCCCGGGGUGUCGGAAACCAAUAUCUGGUCCAUUUUACCACUGUUCAGAUUGCACUUGUCCUAAAUUGUUUUAACCUUCAUAAGGAAUGUGCUGAACUACCCCUUGAGAUUAAUCACCCCUGUGACCGUAAGCAUCCUCUUACUCUCUUGUCACAACCGCCUACUCAUCCCAAGAAAUGUAGUUGCUAUUUGUGCAGAAUCUAUGCAACUUUGAUCUUUCACUUGAUAGUUUUCUUUUUUCACCACCAAAAAUCACAGUUGCAAGUCAUGAACACGCGUGGAUGCUUGUAUCUAGAAAAAUGUGGUUUGUUUGUGAUUUUUGUGGCACUGACGGAGAUCACUCCCCCUAUUUGUACCCUAAACUUAAACUUUGCCCUCGCACUACCCAGUUCAAUCUAGGCUUAAUAUAAAAAUUGCCCCCUAAAUUAUAUUCAUUUUCUCAGAUAGGUAUCUAAACCAUUUUUUUGUCAAAUUGAGUACUUAAAGUAAUUUUUUCCCGCAUUGGUACGCUGUUGCCUGUUAGUUCUCCCUUAGUCAACCAUUAGUCAACAUUGUUCGAUGUUCAAUGAUGAUGUGGCCCAAUAAGUAAUAAGCACGUGGAAAAAAAGCCACAUAAGUAAACCAUCUCAUUCUUUGUAUAAAAAAAGCCACAUAAGUAAAUCAUCUCAUAAUUAAAAAUAAUAUUAAGAAAUAUUUUCACACCCUGUUACUCUCCCACAGUCCCCUACCAUCCUCACCCAACCCUUUCCCUCUGCUAACCCUUCAAUUAUAUUUUCAUAAAAAAAAAAAUCCUCCUUUUUUUCUUCAACAUUGAUUCUUUGUCUCACAAUUCCAUUUAAAUCCAUCCACCACAUGUUUGGGAAAAUGACCCUCAAAAAAAUAGAUUUUAAGCCUGAAAUUGGUGUUUUCCUUUUCAUGUAUUGGAUUUGCUUUCUUAUAGUAGGAUUAUAAGUUUGUGGGUGAAGGUUUUGUAUUUGUUAGUUUGGUUUAGUGGACUCUUAAUUUUAUUUAUGGCCUUCUUCCAAUUCGGAAUUUUGUUUGUACUCUGAAUCUCUAAAGUGCAAAUAACCAAAUUAAGCAUCUUUAAUGUACCAAUUGGUUUGUGUCUUUUACAGAAAAAUAAAUUUUCUAAUUUUUUUUUAUUUUGCCACAUGCCUAUUAGUGAUUGAGCCACAUCAUCAUUGACUAAGUUGAUUAAUGGUUGACUAACGAAGGACUAACGAGGUACAAACGUAAGAAAAAAUAUGGUUUAGAUACUCAAAUUGAUCAAAAAAGUGUUUAGGUAAUUAUUUAAGCAAAUGAGUAUAUUUUAAAGGACAAUUUUAAUAUUAAGCCUUCAACCUAUAAAUAGAUUUAUUUAUAAUUGAUUUAAUUUAAUAUGAUCUAAUUCAAAUUAAUUGUAAAACACAUUUAAUGACUUAAUUUUUAGUCACAAAUGAUAAACUUCUACAACAUAGUUUUUUAGUUCAAAUUGGUACUUUCAAAUAACUAAGUAUUAAUUUAGAUAAUAAAAAAUCAAAUUCGGGUAUUAAUUUAAAUCAAGAAGCUAAGUUUAGGUACUUAAUUUGACCAAAAUACCAAAUGGAACUUUGAAUUCAUGUUCAAGUACCUAAUUGGAAAAACAAAACCUUAGGUAUCAAUUUGAACUCUGAAGCUAAGUUCAAGUAUCAAAAUAUAUAUUUCCCUUACUUUUCCAAUCAAUAAUAAUUCUAGUGAUUAUGUUGAAAGUAAACCUUAAUUUUUGGUCACCGACAACCACAAUCCUUUUUGCAUUAUUUCUCAAUUUUUAGUUCAUAAACGAUCAAGAAUACCUUUUUUUUAUAGUGAUUAUGUUGUGAUUUCCUAUAAAAUUCUCUUUUUAUUUGCAAGGAAUCUACAACUCUAGUGUGAAUCAGGGACAUUGUCUUUGAUCGCAGGGUGUUCGCCGAAAUGCUUGACACAAGCAUGCCGGCGUGGGAAGCUAUCAGCUCUGAUGAACUUAAAUCCCACCGCCUCUUCCAUAGGCGCCAACAUAUGAAUAACUAUUCCUAAAACGAGGUCAGCCAUGCCAAUUCCAUUAAAAAGAGGCCUAAGCUAAGCUACCAAGCAAAGAGGAAGAAGAAAAGAUGGUUUCAGGGUGAGGCAUGGGCUCCAAAAGGGUAGCGGUGGAUGCAAGGCAUCACAUGCUGGGAAGGUUGGCUUCCAGAUUGGCAUGGUCUCAUCCAGUUUCCUGCUCCUCUAACACCCUCUGGCGUACCAUUCGUGGGUGCGUUUUUCUUUUCGAGAGUUUUUUUUCCCUUUUAGUGUGUUUUCGUAGUUCUUUAUUUGGUCUGUGAAGGAAAAGGAUGGAAAUUUCUGGGCUUUUGAUGCUUGGUAAUUUAGGAAGCCUUUAUUAUAAACUUUUUGAGAGAUUUUUUCUAUUUAUUUGAAGUUCUAUGAUUUGGAUAUUGGAAUAUAUAUUGCAAAAGAACCAAAGGAAUCUGUGUGUUUAGUUAUGUUUGAUAUCAAAAUUAAUAAUGAGAGUUUGCUAUUGAUUUUUCUUAUUAGAGAUCCGUGUGUUUGUUAUAGUUGGUUAUUGGUAAAAUGUAGGGACGAAGUGAAAGAGAGUAGAAUGAGUGUGCUUGAGGUUAUUAUUGUUGGAUUGAGAGAAAACUAAUAGCUGACAAGGUCUAUGAAUCUUAUGGUGCAAAGGCAAUGCGUUUGGCUUCAGCAUAUAUGUAGUGAAGUAUAUAACUGGGCUUCAUUUUGACUUUUCUUAUGGUAAUUGAUAGUUGUUUUGAUUGCAGGAUGAUUCCUCGCAAAGACUAAGGACGGAGUGGCAGCUUUCGCUGGUUUGAAAUUGAAGGCUAAUGAGGGGAUUCCUGCACCAUAUGAUAAGACUAAGAGAAUGGUUAUUCCUGAUGCUCUCAAGUUUUGCAGUAGUUGGUUUCUUUCGCGGAAUUUAGAAUUUGGUUUUCUUACUUGCUUCUGUGGAUAGUUAGUCAUGCUCAAUGUUUUUAUUGUUCUUUCGGUUUUUUUAAAUUAGGGUUUUGAGGUUUCAGAAAGGAGACAAAUUGGUGGAGAAAAUAGCAUUACCCUGGAGUAAAUAUGAAAUAUAACAUUGAACGCUUUUAUGUAGGUUAUCCAACACGCUGAAUGCUUAGGACUUGGUUUGGAGCUUUAGGAACUACUGAUUAAGAAGUUUAUGAAGACAUCAAAAGAGUCAUUUCAUUGGUUUGGCAGUUCUAGGACUUGGUUGUCCUUUACUCAGAGCCAGAGCAGGUAGGUUCUGUUUUUACUCGGCUGUUUGUGAUUGAUGUUUGUUGCACCUUUUCCCCUCUCUUUUUGUAACUGUAUUGUAGCUUUGGGUCAGUGGUUGGGCUAUGAAUUUAUGAAUAUCAAACUGUUGUGUCUGGUCAACAUUGCAGACUCCUCGAAUUGUCUCCUUACCAUCUGAGUCUUACAACCUACCAAGACAACACCGAACCAAACCUUCCGCAUACAGAAGAAAAACAUUCCUUGCAAUAAAAUUAAAACUGAUACAAAAACCACAACAUCCCAAAACACCUCAAAAAGAUAACCACGACGACACUUGCAUACACCACAGCUCAUGACACAAAUCGAAAAAGAGCUCAACUUCAAGACAUCAUCUCAUGUUAUCAAUUUGUGAGCAUCCCUUAGAAACUAAAUAAACACCAUAAAAGACGCAUCCAACAAAUUGGCAGCAAUGCAGUAACAGCAAACCUAUUGCCUCUGUGAGUCUUUAAUUACAACCCCAAAUAUCAUAUACCAAAGCAAGGAGCAACAUCAAAACCUUCAUAAUUAAACACUCUUGAAAAGUUGCCUACACACCCUUUUUACUCAUCCUUAGGUUAAAACAUGUUCUUAUCACCCCUAAACACCACCAGUCCAAAUCAUAUCUUACUCGAGUUGAAAAACCUCCUGGUUGAAGAGAAGACAAUCGAAAUCAUCCUUAACCCACAAACCCUUAUCCAACAUCGAUCAAGAGGACACUGAACAUGAUUCCAUAAUAAGCUUGUUAAAAUCCCUCAAGAAAGGAAAGCUGGAUCAGCAGCAUUCAACAGUGGUCCUCAUCAGUUAUGGCGGUCAAUGAUGAACCUCAGCCCCCUGAGCCUUUCGAGUUCACAUCCUGAUUUCGCUUGGAUUUCAUUUCGAUGAUAGUUUUUAGAGAUGACUUGUGUUCCGUCACAUUCUUUUGUUCAGGAGUUCUCUACUAAUCAGUUACAUUCUUUCUUAUGUGCUUUCUAUUUGUACGGAAAAUCUUGUCAUAUACAUGCUCAACCAUUAGGGAAUUCAAUUUUGUUGCUGAUACGAACUCGGUUGCAUCAUGUUACGACACAACUGGACGGCAUCGGCAUUGGCCCAAACACGAGGGUCCCAAGUGCAAAAUGAAGUGUUAAUUCGAGUUUGUUAAUUUGGUUGCUGGAAAAAAUGAGGAUGACUAUUACUUCUAGAUUUCUUAGCUAUAGUUUAAUUGCUGGAAUAAAAGUUAAUUCGGUUUUAGUUAAUUAGUUAAUUAAUUAGUUAAGUUCCAUAAAUAUGUCAUGGUUUAAACAUCAAUAAUUAGAAUUUAAAUUUGUCAAAAAAUAUGGACAUUUUAAAUGUGUUUUAAGUUCAUUAAUUCUGUCCAAAAUUCAUACUGCUUUAAUAUGAGAUUUAACUUGGUCUUAGUUUAGAACAAAUUAAAUAGGUCUUAAUUUAGACAACUUAAUUGUGACUCACUUCCAGACCAAUUAAUUGUGUCUAACAUUCAGCUUUUAUGUUGCAUUAAACCGAUCUUUAAAUAUGUUUUGUAGGUUGGCUGAAUAGGCUGCCCAUCAACCAAUACAUUGGACGGCAUUAAAGGGACAGCAUGCACCUGGACGUACAUGCACCUAGCACCUGCUGUUUGCUCUCCUCCAAGCAUCUCCUCGUGGAAGCAAUAGCCAAGAGUGUCCCAAUUUGUUUCAUCAGCUGAUUAAUUCGGUUCACACAUAAUUGUCCAGCCAAUUCGAGCCAUUCACACCUAGUUGACCAUUCAUUGCCGGCUUUUCACCUUUGAUGGCUGUCCAUGCGCCACCAACAGUCACAAUUUAAUUAAAGCUUGUUUGGCUGCCCAAGGGAGGUUAAUGCAUGUUCAUUCAACUUAGCUGAUAAGGAACUUGUUAGAUUCAGCUAAUUUUCUAAAUACAUUUAGCUGACCAUUCGAGAACAGCAAAGGUUAAGGAUGUCGGCGUGUCCAAUGAUUGGAUGCAUUCAUUUGCUGACUCAAUUACUCCAGCUCAAGAACCGAAUUUAUCCAGAUGAAUUACUCAGCUAUUUCGUCAGUCCAUGGCUGUUACUCCAGCUCAAGAACCGAAUUUAUCCAGAUGAAUGCUCAGCAAUUAAGUCAGUCCAUGACUGUUCGGGCAUAGCAAGAGCCAGCUGAUCAUUAAGCUAAACAUUGGAUAAUUUCAACUGGAAUUUAAGUUAACAUUUGUGUUUAAUUAAUUGUUAUAAAUUGAGGCUAUUCGGCUGGACCUAUGUGAGCUUAUAAAUAGCUUAUUGUAAACCGUUUAGAAGGUUACUUAACUUUGAAAUUUUAUGAAUAUUAAGCCUUGAGUUAUUCAACUCUUGUAAGAGUUGUUCGUUUGAGACUCGAUUGACUUAUCUAGCUCCGUCUAGUGGCGUCAACCCGAUUCUUGUUUGAACUUAUCACUUCCAGCAAGUGUGGCGUUCAUCCUAUACCGUAGGUUCCUAUCUCUUUAGAUAGUGGGUCUCGGUUUACUAUCUUUUUAUCCAAUUUCAUUUCCAAGUGUUGAUAUAAAAAUUGGGUCGAUAUUCACCUUUAAUAUCGGUCCAUUCUUCAAACUUGUUUUACCCAAACUUAGCAGAAACUAUCACAUAUUAACCUUUACAAAUAUACCAACUUAAAAGCCUUCUUGUUUCAGCCUUCAAAUACGAUACUUCUCAAUUUACGAUCGGAAAACUUAGCAACACGUAAUCAACUCCAAGCACGGGUUCGCAUCAGUUGCCUAAUUUCUUUUCAUUGAUGCUUUGCUCUCAAUUCUUUUCACAUUUUUUUCAAAUCAUAUAUAUAGGUUAAAACUAUGUGGCAUAGCUUUUAAAUCACUAUUUAUUAUGAUAAUAAUAUUUCACAUGUUGAUUAUAUUUAAAAAAAUUAAUUCAAAGUAAAUUCCUUAUAAAUAUUGUCAUGUAAUUUUUGAUGCUCUAAAUGUUGAUAUGCAUGAAUAUAUUAAAUAUACACUAAAAAUAUAAUAUUAAAAUUAAUUAUAAGAAAUAUAAACUAUAAAGCAAAUUGAAGCAAAUAUUUAGUAAAAAUUUGAACUUAAAAUAUAUAUUUAAAACUUAAAACAUAUUAUUAAAGACGCAUUUUAAUAAAGAUUGAUUAAAUUAAAUAUAUUUCAAAUUCUUAAUUAAUUUAAACAAAACUCAAUUAUUAAAAACAAAUUAUUAUCUUUUUCAAACUCUAACAAAUUUAUGGGAAAAUUGAAUGUUCCAUAUUAUUAUCCUUAGAAUGGAAAUGCUGGGGUAUUAUGGGAAAAGAAAUAUUGACAAAUAUGCUCACAAGUCAACGACGAAAAUGAUUCUUCUCUUUUAAGGACAAAAGCAAGACCUAAGAAAGUAUACCACAAAGGGUGGCGUAAAGUGAAGCUAACUCAAGGGUUUUCUUGUAAUGGAUGCGAGUGAGUGUGAGAGUAGGACAGAAGGGGAGACCAUGGAACUUCAACAUUUCAGUCAUCCACAUCCUUUGGUCUCCUUUAAAUAUCAGACUGUUGCACGCGAAGAAGUAGACACAGAAGCAGCUCUUUGCCUUGGGUGUGAGAAACCUGUAGAGGGCUGGAGCUAUGGCUGCAAUCAAUGCGAGUUUUAUCUUCAUAAGGGAUGUGCUGAGUUAGAGUUAGCCCCCAAGAUUCAGCAUCCAUUCCACCCCAAACAUCCUCUCACUCUUCUGCCAAAAUCACCUUAUCCUGGGGGCAUAACCGUGUGCGAUUUGUGUGGUAAGAAUUUUGAGGGAUUUGUUUAUAAUUGUAACGAUUGUAUUUUCUAUCUGCACAUCAAUUGUGCUUUGCUUCAAUCAUCCAUUGCUGCAAAUUUUCCUAAUUCUUUGCACCACCAUCCUUUACACUUCAUUCAAAACCAUAACGAGGAAGUUGAGCGCGAUUGCUCCGGAUGUCAGAAACCAUUAUCUGGUCCGAUUUACCAUUGUUUAGAUUGUUCUUAUCCUACAUUCUUUACUCUUCAUAAGGAAUGCGUUGAACUACCCCUAGAAAUUAAUCACGCCUGUGACCGUAAGCAUCCCCUUACUCUUUUGCCCCAACGACCUGCACAUCCCGAGAAAUGUAGUUGCUAUUUGUGCAAAAUCCAAUGGAGCGGGUUUGUUUAUUCCUGCUCGCUUUGCAACUUUGAGCUUUCAGUUGAUGAUAUUUUUUCACCACCAACAAUCACCAAUGCAAGCCAUGAACACCCGUGGAUGCUUAUAUCCAAAAAAAUGUCAUUUAUUUGUGAUUUUUGUGGCAUUGUCGGAGAUCACUCUCCCUAUCUUUGUGCUACAUGCAACCUUGUUGUCCACAAGAAUUGCAUUUCAUUGCCACGCAACAUCAGGAUAACACGACAUUGUCACGUGAUUUGUUUUUCAUACUCUUUUCAACAAAAUCAAGUUGAAAAUUGUAUGUGCAGAAUUUGUUACACGGAAGUUGAUACAAGUUAUGGUAGGUAUUGUUGUUCUGCUUCCGGUUGUGAUUAUAUUGCUCAUGCACAUUGUGCAACCAAUAAAUCAAUUUGGGAUGGAACAAUUAUCAAGGAAGGCUAUGAUGAGAGGCAUGGACCUUCGAAUUUGAUCACCGAUGUUAUUGAACAAAUAAGUAUUGAAGAGAUUAUGGUAGCAAGUAAGAUCAAACAUUCCUACCAUCAUCAUAAUUUAAGACUCACUCUUAGUGGUGAAAUCAAAGAUGAUAGCCAGUGUGAUGGGUGCAUGAGGCCUAUAUCAAAUCCAUUUUAUAGUUGUGAGCAAUGCAAGUUCUUUCUCCAUAAAAAUUGCGCUGAAUUAUCUAAAGAAAUGCGACAUCCAUUUCACAAGCACUUACUUACACUCACAAACUCAAGCACGCUCGGUGACUUUUCAAGUUGUGAUGCCUGCAGUCAUUUGUACCAGGGAUUUAGCUAUCGGUGCUACAGAAGAGGUUGCAACCUCAACUUUGACAUUCGGUGUAUGUUAAUGUUGGACACCUUGAACCAUCCAAGUCAUGACCAUUCACUCUUACUUGAGCAUAACCAGCAAAGAAAUUGCAGUGCUUGUUCCGGAACAAUGGAACCAUGGAGAGUUGCAUAUAGAUGCAUGAAGCGUUGUGAUUACACUUUAGAUGUAGGUUGUGCAACACUACCACCCACUGCUUGGUACAAGUAUGACAAACAUCCUCUUACUCUGACUUAUUCUGAUGAUUCUGAACCUUCUCAACUUUACUGCGAUCUCUGUGAGAAAGAAAGGCAGCCGAAUAGUUGGUUUUACUAUUGUGUUGAUUGUGAUAACUCUCUUCAUCUCAAUUGUGCUCUUGGGGAUCUCCCAUAUAUGAAGCUUGGGAACAAAAUAAAAGGUACAGGUCAUCAACAUCGACUCACUGUUGUGAAAAACAUCUGGAAUUGUCCUCCAUGUGAGAAAUGUCGUGAGCUUUGCAACGGACGUGCCCUAGAAUGUAAAGAAUUUGGAUGCAACUUUACCAUACACUGGAAUUGUUGUUGGUAUUUGACCUUCUAGGACUCUGGUGAACCAUUUCAAUGAUACUCCACUCAAGUUUACCAGACAGAGAAGUCGCAACUUCACAUGUCUGUUCUGUCCAUCUGCAUGCAUGUACCUGAUUUGCCAACAAGGGCUCAUGUCCGUUUGUUUUUCUUAAUUGCUUUUUAUUAUGUUAUUGUUGUCUAAGAACUUAAACCUUGUUUAAAUCAAACAUGAUUUCAGGCUAGUCAUGAGACUUCUUUUAGGGUAAAUAUACAUUUUGAUGCCUGAAUUUGGCUCUAAGGUUCACAUUGGUACCUGAACUUGACGUCUCGGUUCAAAUUGGCUUUUAAGUCCAAAUUAGUACUAGAGUUAGAUGAGGUAUUUGAACCAAUUUUAACUAUGAAGUCAAGUUUGGUACUAAUUUGAACCAAUAUGACAAGUUCAAAUGCCUAAUUGAACAACAAAAAUUUAAGUACCAAAUUGAACCUUGAGGUUAAGUAUUUAUCAUUUUAAGUUUUUUAAUCAUUUGAAUAAAUGGAAAAAUAGCAAUUUUGGCCCUUUGUGAAAAUUAAUCAUAUAAUUUAAGCUCUUUUAGAGUGAAACUUUUAUCUUCGGUCUCAAAAUUUUAAAAUUUUGGCUUCGUCACUAUAAGAGACUAAAUCACAAGAAAAUGAGCAAAUCCUGAAGGGGCAGGUAGGGGACUGUUCAUAUAAAUGAUGAUAUUAUAAAUUAAUAUAUAGUAAAAUUUUAUUUUAGUCCUUUAAAAUAAAACAAUUCUAUUUAAUCCCUUUAAAUAUGAUAAAUUACAUUUUAACCUUUCAAAAAUUUACAUUUUAAUUUAUAAUUUUUCUAAUUUUUUCAUUUUGCCACAUGUCUAUUGGUGAUUGAGCCACAUCAUCAUUGACCAAGGUUAAUUAACGGCUGACUAACGAAGGACUAACGAGGUACAAAUGUAAGAAAAAAUAUAUAGUUUAGAUACUCAUAUUGAUCAAAAAAGUGUUUAGGUACUAAUUUAAGCAAAUAAGGAUAUUUUAAAGGACAAUUUUAAUAUUAAGCCUUCAGCCUAUAAAUAGAUUUAUUUAUAAUUAAUUUAAUUUAAUAUGAUCUGAUUCAAAUUAAUUGUUAAACACAUUUAAUGACUUAAAUUUUAGUCACAAAUGACAAACUUUUACAGCAUAGUUUUUUAGUUCAAAUUGGUACUUUCAAAUAACUAAGUAUUAAUUUAGAUAAUAAAAAAUCAAAUUCGGGUAUUAAUUUAAAUCAAGAAGCUAAGUUUAGGUACUUAAUUGGACCAAAAUACCAAAUGGAACUUUGAAGUCAUGUUCAAGUACCUAAUUGGAAAAAAGAAAAACCUUAGGUAUCAAUUUGAACUCUGAAGCUAAGUUUAAGUACCAAAAUGUAUAUUUCCCUUACUUUUCCAAUAACCAUUGAAUGCUCUCAUUUUUAUCUACCAGAUCGGAGCAAACACUAAUUAUUGACAGAAAAUAACAAUUCUAGUGAUUAUGUUUAAAGUAAAAUUUAAUUUUAUGUCACCGACAAUCACAAUCCUUUUUGCAUUAUUUCUCAAUUUUUAGUUCAUAAACGAUCAAGAAUACUUUUUUUUUACGGUGAUUAUGUUGAGAUUUCCUAUAAAAUUCUCUUUUUAUUUGCAAGGAAUCUACAACUCUACUGUGAAUCAGGGAAGCAUGCAGGCGUGGGAAGCUAUCAGCUCUGAUAAACUUAAAUCCCACCGCCCCUUCCAUAAGCGCCAACAUAUGAAUAACUAUUCCUUAAACGAGGUCAGCCAUGCCAAUUCCAUUAAAAAGAGGCCUAAGCUAAGCUACCAAGCAAAGAGGAAGAAGAAGAGAUGGUUUCAGGGUGAGGCAUGUGCUCUAAAAGGGUAGCGGUGGAUGCAAGGCAUCACAUGCUGGGAAGGUUGGCUUCCAUAUUAGCCAAGGAGUUGUUGAAUGGCCAAAAAAUAGUGGUGGUGAGAUCUGAAGAGAUAUGCAUGUGGGGUGGAUUGGUUAGCCAGAAGAUGAAUCUCAUGAGGUUUCUUAGGAAGCGUAUAAACACUAAGCCUUCUCAUGGUCUCAUCCAGUUUCCUGCUCCUCUAACAUCCUUUGGCGUACCAUUCGUGGGUGUGUUUUUCUUUUCGAGAGUCUUUUUCCCUUUUAGUGUGUUUUCAUAGUUCUUUAUUUGGUCUGUGAAUGAAAAGGAUGGAAAUUUCUGGGUUUUUUAUGCUUGGUAAUUUAGGAAGCCUUUAUUAUAAACUUUUUGAGAGAUUUUUUUCUAUUUAUUUGAAGUUCUAUGAUUUGGAUAUUGGAAUAUAUAUUGCAAAAGAACCAAUGGAAUCUGUGUGUUUAGCUAUGUUUGAUAUCAAAAUUAAUAAUGAGAGUUUGCUAUUGAUUUUUCUUGUUAGAGAUCUGUGUGUUUGUUAUAGUUGGUUAUUGGUAAAAUGUAGGGACGAAGUGAAAGAGAGUAGAAUGAGUGUGCUUGAGGUUAUUAUUGUUGGAUUGGGAGAAAACUAAUAGCUGACAAGGUCUAUGAAUCUUAUAGUGCAAAGGCAAUGCGUUUGGCUUCAGCAUAUAUGAAGUGAAGUAUAUAACUGGGCUUCAUUUUGACUUUCCUUAUGGUAAUUGAUAUUUGCUUUGAUUGCAGGAUGAUUCCUCGCAAAGACUAAGCAUGGAGUGGCAGCUUUCGCUGGUGUGAAUUGAAGGCUUAUGAGGGGAUUCUUGCACCAUAUGAUAAGACUAAGAGAAUGGUUAUUCCUGAUGCUCUCAAGUUUUGCAGUAGUUGGUUUCUUUCGCGGAAUUUAGAAUUUGGUUUUCUUACUUGCUUCUGUGGAUAGUUAGUCAUGCUCAAUGUUUUUUAAAUUGGUGGAGAAAAUAGCAUUACCCUGGAGUAAAUAUGAAAUAUAACAUUGAACGCUUUUAUGUAGGUUAUCCAACAUUGAAUGCUUAUGACUUGGUUUGGAGCUUCAAGAACUACUGAUGAAGAAGUUUAUGAAGACAUCAAAAGAGUCAUUUCAUUGGUUUGGCAGUUCUAGGACUUGGUUGUCCUUUACUCAGAGCCAGAGCAGGUAGGUUCUGUUUUUACUCGGCUUUUUGUGAUUGAUGUUUGUUGCACCUUUUCCCCCCUCUUUUUGUAACUGUAUUGUAGCUUUGGGUCAGUGGUUGGGCUAUGAAUUUAUGAAUAUCAAACUGUUGUGUCUGGUCAACAUUGCAGACUCCUCGAAUUGUCUCCUUACUGUCUGAGUCUUACAACCUACCAAGACAACACCGAACCAAACCUUCCGCAUACAGAAGAAAAACAUUCCUUGCAAUAAAAUUAAAACUGAUACAAAAACCACAACAUCCCAAAACACCUCAAAAAGAUAACCACAAUGACACUUGCGUACAGCACAGCUCAUGACACAAAUCGAAAAAGAGAUCAACUUCAAGACAUCAUCUCAUGUUAUCAGUUUGUGAGCAUCCCUUAGAAACUAAAUAAACACCAUAAAAGAAGCAUCCAACAAAUUGGCAGCAAUGCAGUAACAAACCUAUUGCCUCCGUGAGUCUUUAAUUACAACCCCAAAUAUCAUAUACCAAAACAAGGAGCAAUGUAAUAGCCCGAUUCUGGGCCUAGUCGGAAUAGUGGUUUCGAGACCACAAAUCCGACGAGGGAAAAUAUGGUUAUUAUAAUAUUUUUAUGGUCUACAAUUUCACGGAAAAUUUUCGUAAAAAUUUCGUUCGAAAAUUUCGACGUUUGGGCACUCAAUUUAGUCAAAAGGACUAAAUUGUAAAAAGUGCAAAAGUUGAGUUCUAUAUGUAGAAGUGUCUAAUUGAUAUGAAAUUAUAAGUUGGGCAUCCUUAUGUGGUAAUUAGACCAUUAGUAAUUGAUGGACAAAAUAGACAUAAGAAAUGAGAGAAAUAGAUUUUUUUAAGUGGGGGCAUUUUAGUCAUUUGGUUAUAAAAAGAAUAAAAUGGGAAAAAGAUGACAAAAAUCAUCAUCUUCUCCAUAAGUUGCUGCCGAAUUUUAAGGGACACCAUAGCUAAGGUUUCUUUGCUUUCUCAAGGUCAUAGUAAGUGUAUCAUAGCCCCGUUUUUAAUGUUCUUUGCAUUUUUGAAAUCCUCGUAGCUCGGUUUAGCUUAUUUUACUGUUAAUUCAUGUUAGGGUUUAUAUUUGGAAAAAUACCCAUAGGUGAAAAGUGUUUAUUCUGCUGUUUUAUGGUGGAAUAUGAAGCUAGAAAUUAUGUUAAACAACUUUUGCUAAGCGAUUUUAAACGAAAACGGGUAAAUUGACAUAAUCGGUAAAACUAGUUAAUGUUCAAAAGUAUGUGUUAGAGUGAGAAUUUGAUGUUGCCAUAGAAGGGAAAAAUAUUAAGCAUGUCAUAAGACAUAAGAAUAAGUGAUGAAAUUUAACUUCCGAGCUUGGGAACAAAAAUGUAAUUAUGCAAAAGUUUGGGGGCAAAAUUGUAAUUUUUCAAAAAGUUGGGUGGAGGAUUAUUUUAAUAAAUGUGAACCUUAAAUAAGUUAAAUUUGCUAUUAUAGAUCAAGAAAGACGAGAGGACUACCUCAAACGAGGAAAAGAAAAGAUAGUGGAAUAAAUUGCAAAAUUACGAUAUUUUGCACCGAGGUAAGUAAACACGUGACUUAAUGUAUUAUUUUGGUAUUAUUUGAUAUGUGUUGAGAUUUAUUUGAAUAUAAAAUAAAUGUUUGGCAAGAUUCCAAAAAUGUUGUUAAUUUGGGAAAGGUGGUAAGGAGUUGCAAAACACGGUUUUUGGUUGAACACUCGGAAUAGGCCGGAGCAUAUUGCAUAUAAAGGGGUUGCUGUGUGCUGAUUCCCCUAUUCAUUGGUGGUUGCUAAGUGCUGAUUCCACCGUAUUUUAAAUGUGGAAGGGGGUUGCUAAGUGCUGAUUCCCCCGAGGGGUUGCUAAGUGCUGAUUCCCCUACCUAUUGGUGGUUGCUAAGUGCUGAUUCCACCGUAUUUUAAAUGUGAAAGGGGGUUGCUAAGUGCUGAUUCCCCUGAGGGGUUGCUAAGUGCUGAUUCCCCUACCUAUUUGGUGGUUGCUAAGUGCUGAUUCCACCGCAUCUGAAAUGUGAAGGGGGUUGCUAAGUGCUGAUUCCCCCAAGGGGUUGCUGUGUGCUGAUUCCCCGAUUCAUUGGUGGUGCUAAGUGCGGAAUCCACCAACAACGGUUAACAUUCCGAGUGUUCAACGAGUAAAUUGAGAAGGUGAAUAUUCAUAUAUGUGGUGGACGAGUUUAUGGGAGGAAUAUCGGGUUUGAUACUUAAUCAACCCAUGUAUAAGAUGGGAGGAAAAAUCAAAAAUACAAAAGAAACAAUUUGAAUGCAAAACUGUUUUGAAUGGCAGCAGUUGGGCAACUUUGAAAAAUCACCAUAAAUGGUGAAAAAUGAAUUGGAGGUUGAAUAAAACAUGAAAUUGAAGCUGAAUGAGUCUAUUUUCAUAAGAAAUAAGUGGGGAAAGCAAAGGAAUUAUAUAUUUGAGGAUAUUUAAAUUUUACUGAGACAGGGUUGGAUUGAAUUCGAAAUCCCCUGUUCCAACUUUGGAAAAUCACCAAAGAUUCUAAAAAAAUAAUUAUGGCUUGAAAUUUAUAUUUCUGGAUUCCUUUUUGAGUCUAUUUUUAAUAGAAACAAACGAGAACAUUUUUUGAAACUUGUAUAGAGAGUUAUGUGAAUUUUUGUAAGGGGAGGUCAGGACUGUCGGGUAGUGAAACAGGGGAAACUUUAAUGAAUAAACUGUACUAAUUGGCCAACCAAAAAUUCCGAAAAUUUUAUGGUGGAAAUAUAUAUGAAUCUAGUUUCAGGGAAAAUUUACGGAAUCUGAUUUGGAGCCCUGUAGCUCCCGAUAAAAAUAAAUUAGUGACCAUGACGCAGAAAUACUGCUUGCUGGAAUUUGACCAAAUAAUGAAAUUUAUUUGUGAUAAAAGUUAUAUUUUGGUGUAAUCAUGUGGGAAAUUUAUCUACUUGUCAUAUGUUUACUUACUAAGCUAUAUGCUUACUUGCUUUUAUUUUUCCCUUGAUUAUAGUGAUAUCCAUCAACUUGGAAUUGGGACGGAGUCGGACAAUCAUCCACACUAUCAUCCGCGUUUGGGUAUUUUGCUACUGGUAUUCCGGAAAUUAUGGCAUGUAUAGACGACUUUAUGUAAUGUGGCGUCACUGUAUAUAUAUAUGUUAUGGUUCGAGCUAAAAUGUGGCGUUUAUAAAUAGUUAAAUUGUGUAUCUUUAUACAACUGUUUUGAUUGGAAAUUUGAAUUGUGGUUGGAAAUUGCAGGAGGUUUAAGCAAAAACAAGCAGAAAUGCUGUCGAAAUUUUUUUAAAAAAAAUUUAGUAAUACCUCGUACUCUGUUCCGGUAAGGAAUACGAGUAAAGGGUGUUACAUUUUAGUGGUAUCAGAGCUACGGUUUAGUCGGUUCUCGGGCCAAUAAAAUAUGUGUGAAAGUCAGUCUAUACAUGCCAUAAAUAUAUUGUGAUAGUGUGAUGAUUUCUGACAAUUUAAAAUUUUGUUUUAUAUAGUAAAUGGAUCCUGAGCGAAGUGUGACAGAUGAUGUUGAAAGUAACGCGCCGGCUCCCGGACAAGGGACCGCGCAUGAAGAGAGUAGACAUGAGACACAUGGACAGGAUGAGGCUCGGGAAGCCUUCCUCCGGAUGAUGAGUAUUGGUAUACAGAAUAUGUCCGUGUAAAUCCGAAUGUUCCACCUCCUCCACCCCCUCCUAUUCCUCAACCGGUCCCCGUAGCUCCACGAAGUGCUGAAUUGGUGAGAUCAAGUAAACCACCCGUUGACAGAAUUCGAAAGCAUGGGGCUGAAGAUUUCUGGGCUAAUGUUGAUGAUGAUUCGGAAAAAGUCGAGUUUUGGCUUGAAAAUACUAUCCGGGUAUUUGAUGAAUUAUCUUGUACUCCCGAGGAAUGUUUGAAAUGUGCUGUGUCUUUAUUAGAGGUGCUCAUGAGCCGAGCCGGGCCGGGUUCGAGCUAGGCCCAUAAAAAAAUUUCGGCCCGGAUCCUAGGCCGGGCCCGGCCCGGCCCGAAAUAUGGGCCUAAGAUUUUGCCCAGGCCCGGCCCGGGAAAAAAAUCAUAAGCCCGGGCCCGGCCCGGCCCGGCCCAUUUUUAUUUUAAAAAUUUUUAAAAAUUAAAAAAAGUAUUUUAAAAAUAUUUUAAAAUUAAAAAAAUUAAAAAAAGUAUUUUAAAAUUAAAAAAAUUAAAAAAAGUAUUUUAAAAAUAUUUUAAAAUUUAAAAAAAUUAAAAAAGUAUGUAAAAAAUAUUUUAAAAUUAAAAAAAUAAAUAUAUUUAUUAUAUCGGCCCGGCCCGGGCCGAAAAAGUGGUGCCCGAGGCCUGGCUCGUUUUCUAAACGGGCCUCGUUUUUUUGCCCAAGCCCAUAUUUCAGGCCUAUAUUUUUACCCAAACCCUCCCAUAUUUCGGGCGGGCCAUCGGGCCGGGCCGGGCCGCCCGGCCCAUGAGCACCUCUAGUCUUUAUUGAAGGAUUCGGCAUACCGUUGGUGGAAAACAUUAAUAACGGUGGUUCCAAAAGAAAGAGUUACUUGGGACUUCUUUCAGGAAGAAUUCAGAAAGAAAUAUGUAAGCCAACGGUUUAUUGAUCAGAAGCGCAAAGAGUUUCUCGGAUUGAAACAGGGCCGAAUGUCAGUAGCAGAAUAUGAAUUGGAGUUUGUCCGGCUUAGUAAAUAUGCCCAGGAAUGUGUGCCUACGGAGGCUAUUAUGUGUAAAAGAUUUGAAGAGGGGCUAAAUGAAGACAUCAGAUUGCAUGUUGGAAUUUUAGAGUUAAAAGAAUUUGUGGUAUUAGUUGAUUGUGCCUGCAAAGCUGAAGAGCUGAGUAGAGAAAAGAGAAGGGCAGAGAUGGAAGCUCGAGAUGUAAGGAAGAGGUCAAUGGGCAGAACAUUUCAAUCUCACCCGAAGAAGUUUAAAGGGAUGGAUCCACGACCAACUGGUUCAGUUGGGUAUUCACGUAGAGACCGAGGGAGGUCAUAUUCUGGAACUACAACUCGAGCUACCUCAGUGGCAAGUGUGGGUAAUGUAGGAAACACCAGACCUGAAUGUCAACAGUGUGGCAGGCGACAUACUGGUGAGUGUUGGGGAUUUAAAUGAGCUUGUUUCAGAUGUGGUUCCCAAGAGCAUUAUGUAAAAGACUGCCCUGAGAGAAUAGAAGAAGAAAAAUUACAAAGAGCUGGAUCGGGUGAUGUUGUCAGUAGAGGCAGACCACCGAGAAAUGUGGGAAGCAAAGCCAGUGGUAAGAGUGUGAUAAAAGAUGCAGCUGGAGGAUCAGAAACUAGAGCGCCUGCUAGGACUUAUGCCAUACGCGCUCGAGAGGAUGCCUCAUCUCCCGAUGUGAUUACUGGUACAUUUUCUCUUCAUGAUAUUGAUGUUAUUGCUUUGAUUGACCCGGCUCUACUCAUUCGUAUGUAUGCAUGAAUUUGGUAUCUAGUAAGAAAUUUCCUGUUGAAAACACUGAAUUUGUAGUUAAAGUAUCAAAUCCUUUAGGCAAAUGUGUCUUAGUCGAUAAGGUUUGCAAGAAUUGUCCCCUGAUGAUUCAAGGUCACUGUUUCCCGGCUAAUUUGAUGUUGUUACCAUUUGAUGAGUUUGAUAUUAUUUUGGGGAUAGAUUGGUUGAUAUUGCAUGAUGCCAAGGUAAAUUGUAGACAGAAAAUUCUUGAAUUAAAUUGUGAAAACGGUGAAAUUCUCCGGGUUGAAACAAAGGAGCUGAAUAAGUUGCCUAUGGUGAUCUCGCACAUGUCUGCUCAGAAAUACUUGAGAAAGGGAUGUGAAGUUUAUCUUGCUUAUGUGCUGAACACGGAUAUUACUGGGUCGAAGCUUGAAUCAGUGCCGGUAGUUUGUGAAUUUCCAGAUGUAUUUCCAGAGGAAUUGCCUGGGUUACCUCCGAUUAGAGAAGUUGAGUUUUCUAUUGAUCUGUUACCUGGUACUGCACCGAUUUCUAUUGCACCGUAUCGAAUGGCUCCGACUGAGUUGAAGGAAUUGAAAGCUCAGUUACAAGAGUUGACAGAUAAAGGAUUUGUGAGACCGAGUUUUUCUCCUUGGGGUGCUCCUGUGUUAUUUGUGAAAAAGAAGGACGGCUCUAUGAGACUUUGUAUUGACUAUCGUCAGCUCAACAAGGUGACUAUAAAGAACAAGUAUCCUUUGCCGAGAAUUGAUGAUUUAUUUGAUCAAUUAAAAGGGGCAACAGUGUUCUCUAAGAUCGAUUUGAGGUCUGGUUACUAUCAGUUAAGAGUUAAAGAGUCUGAUGUGCCGAAAACCGCCUUUAGAACAAGGUAUGGACACUAUGAAUUUCUGGUAAUGCCUUUUGGGUUAACAAAUGCUCCGGCUAUUUUUAUGGACUUGAUGAACUGAAUUUUUCGGCCGUACUUGGAUAAGUUCGUGGUGGUGUUCAUAGAUGAUAUUUUAAUCUAUUCUCGGGAUAAAUCUGAGCAUGCAGAACAUUUGAGAACUGUGUUGCAGAUUCUGAGAGAAAAGAAAUUGUAUGCUAAAUUCAGCAAAAGUGAGUUUUGGCUUCGUGAGGUUGGAUUCUUGGGACAUAUAGUUUCAAGUGAAGGUAUUCGGGUUGAUCCAAGCAAAAUUUCAGCAAUUGUUGAUUGGGAGCCACCAAAGAAUGUGACAGAAGUUAGAAGCUUUCUGGGCUUAGCUGGGUAUUACAGACGCUUUGUCAAGGGAUUUUCGAUGAUUGCUUCUCCUAUGACAAAGUUACUGCAGAAGAAUGUCAAGUUUGAAUGGACCGAUAAAUGUCAACAAAGUUUUGAAAAGUUGAAGGCAUUAUUGACUGAGGCGCCAGUGUUGGUGCAACCUGAGUCCGGGAAGGAGUUUGUAAUUUACAGUGAUGCAUCGUUGAAUGAUCUUGGGUGUGUGUUAAUGCAAGAGGGUAAAGUAAUAGCUUAUGCUUCGAGACAGUUGAAACCACAUGAGAAGAAUUAUCCGACGCAUGAUUUAGAAUUGGCUGCUAUUGUUUUUGCUUUAAAAAUUUGGCGUCAUUAUUUGUAUGGUGAAAAGUGCCGAAUCUUCACUGAUCAUAAGAGUUUGAAGUAUUUGAUGAGCCAAAAAGACUUGAAUUUGCGGCAACGAAGAUGGCUCGAGCUAAUUAAAGACUAUGAGCUAGUGAUUGAUUAUCACCCCGGGAAAGCUAAUGUGGUUGCUGAUGCCUUGAGCAGAAAAUCUUUAUUUACUUUGAGAGCUAUGAGUACGAGAUUAACUUUAUCUGAUGAUGGUUCAAUUUUGGCUGAAUUGAGAGUUAGACGUUAUUUCUUCAGCAGAUGCGGGAAGCUUAAAAGAAUGACAAUAAAUUGCAAGUCAGAAGAGCUCAGUGUGAAACAGGCUUUAAUUCAGAUUUUCAAAUUGGUUCAGAUGACUGCCUGAUGUUCCGAGAUAGAAUAUGUGUACCGAGAAAUGAUGAGCUAAUUCGGACCAUUUUAUGUGAGGCACACAAUGGUUGUUUAUCAGUCCAUCCAGGUAGUGUGAAAAUGUAUAAUGAUUUGAAGAAGUUGUACUGGUGGCCGGGCAUGAAAAAGGAUAUCUCGGAAUUUGUAUCGAAUUGUUUAAUUUGUCAACAAGUGAAAGCUGAGCAUCAAGUACCAUCGGGUUUACUUCAGCCGAUAACGAUUCCAGAGUGGAAGUGGGACAGUAUUACGAUGGAUUUUGUGACAGGAUUGCCUUUAACUCCAAAGAAGAAAGAUGCUAUUUGGGUAAUUGUUGAUAGAUUGACAAAGUCAGCCCAUUUUAUUCCGAUACGCAUUGAUUACUCACUUGACAGGUUGGCGGAAUUAUAUGUUGCUGAAAUAGUGAGAUUACACGGGGUGCCUAAAUCUAUUAUAUCGGAUAGAGAUCCGAGAUUUACUUCGAGGUUUUGGAUAAAGUUGUAGGAAGCCUUGGGUACGAAAUUGAAUUUUAGUACUGCGUUUCAUCCGUAAACUGACGGGCAAUCAGAAAGAGUGAUUCAAGUUCUUGAAGACAUGCUCCGAUGUUGUAUUUUAGAAUUGGAAGGCAGUUGGGAGAAAUAUCUACCAUUGGUUGAAUUUGCUUAUAACAAUAGCUAUCAGUCAAGUAUACGAAUGACACCGUAUGAAGCAUUAUAUGGGCGUAAGUGUAGAACUCCUUUAUAUUGGACUGAGCUCGGUGAGAACCAGAUUCAUGGAGUUGACUUGGUGAAAGAAACUGAAGAAAAGGUGAAAAUAAUUCGUGACUGUUUAAAGGCUGCUUCAGAUCGGCAAAAGUCGUAUGCAGAUUUAAAGAGGAAAGAAAUUGAGUUUCAAGUGGGUGAUAAAGUAUUCUUGAAAGUAUCUCCAUGGAAAAAGAUUCUGAGAUUUGGUCGUAAAGGCAAAUUGAGUCCACGUUUUAUUGGACCAUAUGAAGUUAUUGAAAGAGUUGACCCUGUAGCUUAUCGGUUAGCUUUACCGCCGGAGUUGAAAAAAUACAUAAUGUAUUUCAUGUGUCGAUGUUGCGACGUUAUCGUUCGGAUCCUUCACAUAUAGUUUCUCCUACAGAGAUUGAGGUUCGACCAUAUAUGACUUAUGAGGAGGAACCGAUAAAAAUUCUGGCUCGGGAGGUCAAACAGUUAAGGAAUAAAAGUGUAGCCUUAGUGAAAGUGUUGUGGCAGAAACAUGGAAUGGAAGAGGCUACGUGGGAACCGGAGGAAAUUAUGAGGAAACAGUACCCAAACCUCUUUUCCGGUAAGAUUUUCGGGGACGAAAAUCCCUAAGGGGGGAGAGUUGUAACAGCCCGAUUCUAGGCCUAGUCGGAAUAGUGGUUUCGAGACCACAAAUCCGACGAGGGAAAAUAUGGUUAUUAUUAUAUUUUUAUGGUCUACAAUUUCACGGAAAAUUUUCGUAAAAAUUUCGUUCGAAAAUUUUGACGUUUGGGCACUCAAUUUAGUCAAAAGGACUAAAUUUUAAAAAGUGCAAAAGUUGAGUUCUAUAUGUAGAAGUGUCUAAUUGAUAUGAAAUUAUAAGUUGCGGGUCCUUAUGUGGUAAUUAGACCCUUAGUAAUUGAUGGACAAAAUAGACCUAAGAAAUGAGAGAAAUAGAUUUUUUUUAAGUGGGGGCAUUUUAGUCAUUUGGUUAUAAAAAGAAUAAAAUGGGAAAAAGAUGACAAAAAUCAUCAUCUUCUCCAUAAGUUGCUGCUGAAUUUUAAGGGACACCAUAGCUAAGGUUUCUUUGCUUUCUCAAGCUCAUAGUAAGUGCAUCCUAGCCCCGUUUUUAAUGUUCUUUGCAUUUUUGAAAUCCUCGUAGCUCGGUUUAGCUUAUUUUACUGUUAAUUCAUGUUAGGGUUUAUAUUUGGAAAAAUACCCAUAGGUGAAAAGUGUUUAUUUUGCUGUUUUAUGGUGGAAUAUGAAGCUAGAAAUUAUGUUAAACAACUUUUGCUAAGCGAUUUUAAACGAAAACGAGUAAAUUGACAUAAUCGGUAAAAAUAGUUAAUGUUCAAAAGUAUGUGUUAGAGUGAGAAUUUGAUGUUGCCAUAGAAGGGAAAAAUAUUCAGCAUGUCAUAAGACAUAAGAAUAAGUGAUGAAAUUUAAUUUCCGAGCUUGGGGACAAAAAUGUAAUUAUGCAAAAGUUUGGGGGCAAAAUUGUAAUUUUUCAAAACUUUGGGUGGAGGAUUAUUUUAAUAAAUGUGAACCUUAAAUAAGUUAAAUUUGUUAUUAUAGAUCAAGAAAGACGAGAGGACUACCUCAAACGAGGAAAAGAAAAGAAGUGGAAUAAAUUGCAAAAUUACGAUAUUUUGCACCGAGGUAAGUAAACACGUGACUUAAUGUAUUAUUUUGGUAUUAUUUGAUUGAGAUUUAUUUGAAUAUAAAAUAAAUGUUUGGCAAGAUUCCAAAAAUGUCGUUAAAUUGGGAAAGGUGGUAAGGAGUUGCAAAACACGGUUUUUGGUUGAACACUCGGAAUAGGCCGAGCAUAUUGCAUAUAAAGGGGUUGUUGUGUGCUGAUUCCCCUAUUCAUUGGUGGUUGCUAAGUGCUGAUUCCACCGUAUUUUAAAUGUGGAAGGGGGUUGCUAAGUGCUGAUUCCCCCGAGGGGUUGCUAAGUGCUGAUUCCCCUACCUAUUGGUGGUUGCUAAGUGCUGAUUCCACCGUAUUUUAAAUGUGAAAGGGGGUUGCUAAGUGCUGAUUCCCCUGAGGGGUUGCUAAGUGCUGAUUCCCCUACCUAUUUGGUGGUUGCUAAGUGCUGAUUCCACCGCAUCUGAAAUGUGAAGGGGGUUGCUAAGUGCUGAUUCCCCCAAGGGGUUGCUGUGUGCUGAUUCCCCGAUUCAUUGGUGGUGCUAAGUGCGGAAUCCACCAACAACGGUUAACAUUCCGAGUGUUCAACGAGUAAAUUGAGAAGGUGAAUAUUCAUAUAUGUGGUGGACGAGUUUAUGGGAGGAAUAUCGGGUUUGAUACUUAAUCAACCCAUGUAUAAGAUGGGAGGAAAAAUCAAAAAUACAAAAGAAACAAUUUGAAUGCAAAACUGUUUUGAAUGGCAGCAGUUGGGCAACUUUGAAAAAUCACCAUAAAUGGUGAAAAAUGAAUUGGAGGUUGAAUAAAACAUGAAAUUGAAGCUGAAUGAGUCUAUUUUCAUAUGAAAGAAGUGGGGAAAGCAAAGGAAUUAUAUAUUUGGGGAUAUUUAAAUUUUACUGAGACAGGGUUGGAUUGAAUUCGAAAUCCCCUGUUCCAACUUUGGAAAAUCACCAAAGAUUCUAAAAAAAUAAUUAUGGCUUGAAAUUUAUAUGUCUGGAUUCCUUUUUGAGUCUAUUUUUAAUAUAAACAAACGAGAACAUUGUUUGAAACUUGUAUAGAGAGUUAUGUGAAUUUUUGUAAGGGGAGGUCAGGACUGUCGGGUAGUGAAACAGGGGAAACUUUAAUGAAUAAACUGUACUAAUUGGCCCAACCAAAAAUUCUGAAAAUUUUAUGGUGGAAAUAUAUAUGAAACUAGUUUCAGGGAAAAUUUACGGAAUCUGAUUUGGAGCCCUGUAGCUCCCGAUAAAAAUAAAUUAGUGACCAUGACGCAGAAAUACUGCUUGCUGGAAUUUGACCAAAUAAUGAAAUUUAUUUGUGAUAAAAGUUAUAUUUUGGUGUAAUCAUGUGGGAAAUUUAUCUACUUGUCAUAUGUUUACUUACUAAGCUAUAUGCUUACUUGCUUUUAUUUUUCCCUUGAUUAUAGUGAUAUCCAUCAACUUGGAAUUGGGACGGAGUCGGACAAUCAUCCACACUAUCAUCCGUGUUUGGGUAUUUUGCUACUGGUAUUCCAGAAAUUAUGGCAUGUAUAGACGACUUUAUGUAAUAUGGCGUCACUGUAUAUAUAUAUGUUAUGGUUCGAUCUAAAAUGUGGCGUUUAUAAAUAGUUAAAUUGUGUAUCUUUAUACAACUGUUUUGGUUGGAAAUUUGAAUUGUGGUUGGAAAUUGCAGGAGGUUUAAGCAAAAACAAGCAGAAAUGCUGUUGAAAUUUUUUUAAAAAAAAUUUAGUAAUACCUCGUACUCUGUUUCGGUAAGGAAUAAGAGUAAGGGGUGUUACAAGCAACAUCAAAACCUUCAUAAUUAAACACUCUUGAAAAGUUGCCUACACACCCUCUUUACUCAUCCUUAGGUUAAAACAUGUUCUUAUCACCCCUAAACACCACCAGUCAAAAUCAUAUCUUACUCGAGUUGAAAAAACCUCCUAGUUGAAGAGAAGACAAUCGAAAUCAUCCUUAACCCACCAACCCUUACCCAACAUGGAUCAAGAGGACACUGGACAUGAUUCCAUAAUAAGCUUGUUAAAAUCCCUCAAGAAAGGAAAGCUGGAUCGGCAGCAUUCAACAGUGUUCCUCAUCAGUUAUGGCCGUCGAUGAUGAACCCCAGCCCCCUCAGCCUUUCGAGUUCACAUCCUGAUUUCGCUUGGAUUUCGUUUCGAUGAUAGUUUUUAGAGACAACUUGUGUUUCAUCACAUUCUUUAGUUCAGGAGUUCUCUACUAAUCAGUUACAUUCUUUCUAUUUGUACGGACAAUCUUGUCAUAUACAUGCUCAACCAUUAGGGAAUUCGAUUUUGUUGCCUAAUUUCUUUUUGUUGAUGCUUUGCUCUCAAUUCUUUUCACAUUUUUUCAAAUCAUAGAUAUAGGUUACAACUACGUGGCAUAGCUUUUAAAUCAUUAUUUGUCACGAUAAUAAUAUUUCACAUGUUGAUUAUUUUUAAAAAAAUUAAUUCAAGGUAAAUUCCUUAUAAAUAUUUUCAUGUAAUUGUUGAUGCUCUAAAUGUUGAUAUGCAUGAAUAUAUUAAAUAUACACUAAAAAUAUAAAAUUAAACUUAAUUAUAAGAAAUAUAAACUAUAAAGCAAAUUGAAGCAUUUUAAUAAAGAUUGAUUAAAGUAAAUAUAUUUCAAAAUCUUAAUUAAUUUAAACAAAACUCAAUUAUAAGAAAAAAAAUAUUAAUUUCUUUUUCAAACUCUAACAAAUUUAUGGGAAAAUUGAAUGUUCCAUAUUCUUAUCCUUGGAAUGGAAAUGCUGGGAUAUUAUGGGAAAAGAAAUAUUGACAAAUAGUCGCACAAGCCAACGACGAAAUUGAUUCUUCUCUUUAACGACAAAAGCAAAGACCUAAGAAAGUAUACCACAAAGAGUGGAGUAAAGUGAAGCAAACUCGAGGGUUUUCUUGUAAUGGAUGUGAGUGAGUGUGAGAGUAGGACAGAGGGGGAGACCAUGGAACUUCAACAUUUCAGUCAUCCACAUCCUUUGGUCUCCUUCAAAUAUCAGACUGUUGCACGCGAAGAAGUAGACCCGGAAGCAGCUCUGGCUGCAAUCAAUGUGAGUUUUAUCUUCAUAAGGGAUGUGCUGAGUUAGAGUUAGCCCCCAAGAUUCAGAAUCCCUUCCACCCCAAACACCCUCUCACUCUUUUGCCAAAUUCACCUCAGUCUAGGUCAGGAUUUUGCGAUUUGUGUGGUAAGAAUUAUGGGGGAUUUGUUUAUUAUUGUAAUGAUUGUAAUUUCGAUCUGCACAUCAAUUGUGCUUUGCUUCAAUCAUCCAUUGCUGCAAAUUUUCCUAAUUCUUUGCACCCCCAUUCUUUACAUUUCAUUCAAAACUAUAACAAGGAAGUUGAGCCUGAUUGCCCCGGGUGUCAAAAACCAAUAUCUGGUCCACUUUACCACUGUUCAGAUUGCACUUAUCCUACAUUCUUUAACCUUCAUAAGGAAUGUGCUGAACUACCCCUUGAGAUUAAUCACCCCUGUGACCGUAAGCAUCCUCUUACUCUCUUGCCACAACCGCCAACUCAUCCCCAGAAAUGUAGUUGCUAUUUGUGCAGAAUCCAAUGGAAGGGGUUUGUUUAUUCCUGCUCUCUAUGCAACUUUGAUCUUUCACUUGAUGAUUUUCUUUUUUCACCACCAACAAUCACAGUUGCAAGUCAUGAACAUCCGUGGAUGCUUGUAUCUAGAAAAAUGUCGUUUGUUUGUGAUUGUUGUGGCACUGACGGCUAUCACUCCCCCUAUUUCUGUGCUACAUGUCACCUCCUUGUCCACAAGAAUUGCAUUUCAUUGCCACGCAACAUCAGGAUAACACGACAUUGUCACGUGAUUUGUUUUUCAUAUUCUUUUCAACAAAAUCAAGUUGAAGAUUGUAUGUGCAGAAUUUGUUACACGGAAGUUGAUACAAGUUAUGGUAGGUAUUGUUGUUCUGCUUCUGGUUGUGAUUAUAUUGCUCAUGCACAUUGUGCAACCAAUAAAUCAAUUUGGGAUGGAACAAUUAUCAAGGAAGGCUAUGAUGAGAGGCAUGGACCUUCGAAUUUGAUCACUGAUGUUAUUGAACAAAUAAGUAUUGAAGAAAUUAUGGUAGCAAGUGAGAUCAAGCAUUCCUAUCAUGAUCAUAAUUUAAGACUCACUUUUAGUGGGAAGACCAAAGAUGAUGACAGUCAGUGCGAUGGGUGCACGAGACCUUUAUCAACUCCUUUUUAUAGUUGUGAGCAAUGCAAGUUCUUUCUCCACAAAGAUUGCGCUGAAUUGCCUAAAGAAAUGCCACACCCCUUUCACAAGCAUUUGCUUACUCUCGUGAACUCACACGAUUGGGGUGGUUAUUCAGUGUGCGAUGCUUGCGGUCGUCUAUAUCAAGGAUUUAGGUACAGAUGCUACAAAGGAGAUUGCUACUUCGAAAUUGACAUUCAAUGUAUGUUAUUGUCGGACACCUUGAAGCACCCAAGUCAUGAGCAUUCACUCUUUCUUGUCCACAACAACGAGGGAACGAGUUGCAGUGCUUGUUUCAGAAAACUACACUUAAGGGAUGUUGCAUAUAGAUGCAUGAAGCGGUGUGAUUUCAGUUUAGAUGUAGGUUGUGCAACACUACCACUCUCUGCUUGGUAUAAGUAUGACAGGCAUGCUCUUACAGUUUUUUUGAUGAUUCUGAGCCUUCUCAACUUUAUUGCGAUCUCUGCGAAAAAGAAAGAGAGCCAAAUAAUUGGUUUUACUACUGUGCUGAUUGUGAUAACUCUCUUCAUCUCAAUUGUGUUAUCGGGGAUCUCCAAUAUUUGAAGCUUGGGAACAAAUUGAAGCAUUAUAGGCAUAAACAUCCAUUCACUAUUGUAAAAAACAUCUGGAAUUGCCCUCCAUGUAAGGCAUGUGGUGAGAUUUGCAAUGGACAGGCCCUAGAAUGUAAAGAAUCUGAAUGCAACUUUAUCGUCCAUUGGGAUUGCUGUCGGGUUCUCCAGAGAACCAUUUGAAUGAUAUUCCACUCAAGUUUAAGAAACAGAGAAGGCAGAGAGAUGUGUUGUGUUCUGCGGAAAGGUGUAGCAGAUUUGGUAAAAAUGGGUGAUGGCCUUACUUCUUGUGUUCUGCAUUAUGUUAUGUUUAUGAUAGUUGUUUGAGCAGUAGAAGAUUGUGUUAGAUGAAACAUGAUUUGUAACCACACAUCUGUAUCUUUC